rnacentral:lncRNA from 1 species
UUUUUUUUUUUUUUUUUUUAUAGAUUUUUCAUGGUCAAUUUGGAAUUUUCUGGGCUAUUAGUAGAGGGAAGAACCACCCGGUGAAGAAGCAACACUUCUCAAACAUGACUUUUAGAUUAGAAAAGUAGCAGUAGUACGCGUGAAAACUCACGGGGGAUGAAGCGCGUUAUAACAUCCCAUUUUACACUUUGGUUGGAUGAGGAUUGCAUGGUUGACUGCACAGAAGGAGCUUCUAAUCCACCCGUUAAAGGCUUCUGGAAGAGGACUUUCUCUUUUUGGGGAGGGGCGGGAGUGGGUGUUGGGCUUAUCAGUUACUUGAGGAAGUAAUGAUUUUGGUGGAAAACGUUAUCACAAGAGUGCCACUGAGGUUGCGAUUCACAUUUCGCAGAAAUUAAACCAAUCCCAAAAUACGGCCUGAAGCGUCAAGAACUUUAAGAUAAAGAGCUUAAAUUUACGUCUCAACUCGCCCAGAAUUUUACCCAACCUUGAAGGAAGUAGUAGUACAUAAGACACACACACCAAUAAAGUAAGAAAAUAAAAAGACAUUUGACACCCGCUUGUAUCGCUGCCAAUUGCUAAUUUGUUUGAAACUGUAGGCCACACAGAGGAAGGUGAGCUGAGCGUUUUUCAUUGACGACUGAUUAUGUAUUCCUUGCUUGAGGCUUCAGCAAACGACCGAUGAAGCAGCUUAUGGUAUGCAUCUAUUCCUUGCUUGAGGCCUUCAAGUUUGAUCGAUCAGCACAGAUCAGAUGCAUUGGAGUGGAAUACCAACAUACAUGAGUAAAUUCUUAAGUUACUAUGAAAAAAAAAAAUUGUUCUACAAGAGAGGUUAUUUUUGAAGCUAACUCUAAGACUGGAAUCUUCGCAUUUGUGAAAUGCGAGUUCAAGGACUUCGCAUUUGACAAAUGCGAGGUUAGUGCUUUCAGAAGUGUCUUUGGCCAAAAAAAAAAAACCACAAAGCUCGCAAUUGUAAAAUGUGAGCUUUGUGAGCUAUCUUCCCAAAUAGCCGGUGAAUGUUCAAAACAGAGCAGCUCUAACAUUCUAAAUCCCUAACGCGAUUUCGAUUUGGGAACACCAAAACGAAGACGAAAUUGAGGCCAAUACCAAGAGUCAAACCGCUACAAACAUAGCAUUUUAGCAUCAGCUUUCAAACAUUUGAAGGAGUUCCAGAUUUUUUCCCAAUGGCUGCAAAAACUCACUCCAUCUCCGGAAAAGUAGUCGCUGGAAAGCUUGAAAACGUCGACGUGCUUGAGAUAGGUGUUGUUCAUGAUUUGCUGUCAUAACUGUGUGUUUCUCUAAUUUGUUAUUGUUCCUUCCGUUGUCUACUGGAAAUGCAUCAGCCCUGCUGCAUCACUAGGAAUUGCAUCUGCUGUUUCAACAGCAGAAAGCUAGAAAAAGGAAAAUGACCAUCUCGGACCAGUGAAAGUUAGUGUAGCUAGCUAAGUAGUAGCUUUUUAAAAUAUUGCUUCAGACACCGGGAAAAACUAGUUCAAAAAAUGACCUAGUAGCGCAGAAAAGAUAACAAUAGCAUAACCGGUAGUGCAGAAAAGUAAGCAUAACUAGUAGUGCAGAAACUGAGAAAUGUGACCUCGCAUUUGUCAAAUGCGAGGUCGGGCUCUUCUCUCUCUCUUUUUUUUGGAUUUUGUGGAUCAAAAAUUUUAAGUGACUUCGCAUUCAACAAAUGCGAGCUCAAGAGUUCGCAUUUGUUGAAUGCAAAGACCCUUGGACAGAAUUCCAUACUCAAAAUGUCUCCUUUGCAGAAAUUUUUUAAAUUUCAUCAUCAUUUUGGAAAUUUCUCUAGGAUGCUGACCCCCGGCGCGAGGUAGUUUUUACAAGUUAAUCAAAUCCCACCCACAUCUGUCGUUGAUCAUUUCAUUUUUUCCUCAUAAUUGGAAUCUAGGAAGUACCACUUUAGUAAUCCCAUCCUUCUGCAGAGUUAAUUAAUUGAUUGCUGAUAGAGGAAAGCUCAAAUUGAAAUGGAUACAAAAUCUUUAACGUCCAUGUAGAAACCCCAAAAAAAAAAAAAAUAUAUAUAUAUAUAUAUAUAUAUAUAUAAUUCACAACUACAUGAUCAUCAUCAUGAUAGAUGGGAAAAAAAAAAAAGAAUUACAGUACAGAAGAGUGAAUUCAAUACUAUACUAGUGUGCAUGGAAAACCAUUGGAAGCGGAGGAAUUCCGCUUCAUCGUAUACACAAAACUACUAAUCAGUAUACCCAAUAAAUUCGCAACAACGGAGGAAGCUUCAAUAUCUGUCGUCACUUGCAGCUAAUUUGUCGAACUUGUUUCUCUGCCACACCAAUGGUGAGGGUGCAAUCCAUGUUUACGGAUUUCUUCUUCUUGAAGAUGAACAACAGCUCCACCUUUCCAUCCAACCUGGACUGGCUGCGUAAGUUCAAUACCCCAGACCUCAGAUCAUUUCCCAGUUGUGAGUUGCUAGGCAAACUCUUUGACGACAGGUCCACCGAAACAUGAAACUUCUUGGUGGAUCGCCACCCGGCUUUUGACUUGCUGAAAGCGGCUUCCCCGACCCCGGUGUCACCGUAUAAGAAAAAAAUGCUACUAUUUUGGAACUUGUAGUUUCCAAAAUUGGCAUUCUUGACUCCCAGUUCAGCAUCCAUCCUGAAACUGAAGGAAGGGGUUGAGAGGUUCCCAACUUGGAAGGACUCAUCGAAAUCGGCGGACCGCACCCGGAACUUAGGAGUUCUUACUUUCAUAAUGGUGAGCACAAAAAUCAAUAUGACGGCUGUUUGAAACACGGCAAAGGCAGCAACGUAAGCCAAACAUUUCAUGCGCUUCUUCUUGCGCAGCUCGCUGGACUCGAUGUCGUGCUUGGCUUGGUUUGCAUGACCAGUAUAAGGUGAUGAAGGCAUUGUGUAGCGUAUCUCUAAUUCCUAAUGCACUUAACAGCACAGCUGCUCGGGAAACAAUUUAGCGGAGAUUUCAGGCUGAAAAAACUGAUCAAUAUUGUGCUAGAAUUGCUAUGGAUUAUACUAUUCGUGAGUACUGGGAAGAUAUAUACCUGAGUUGUAUGCAUGUAUGUAUAUAUAGGCAAAUGGUGGGAUGCUGAGGAGCACUUGAGCUUGAAUUAGCGUGACGGUGAGAUGUAAGGAGGAAUGGGUCGUAUAUCUCAGCCGCCUGCAUUUGAUGACUUCACAUUCUGAUUCAGGUUGAGACUGGGAAAUUAGUGGAGUACCUAUCAUCUCGGUUAAGAAUUGAAUGGGACGUUUGCUUUUUGGGAUUUUGCUUCAGCCUAAGGAGUGAGGCUUGAGCCCAGCGCGUGAAGUUUUCUAGUAUAUGUCACUAUUGUCUCCGGCUUUUGACUUUUGACUUAAUAGAAGCAUCUGACGGUAAUGCAUCCGAGGAGUCAUUAAGUUACUCUAUAUUAUGGGGUUCAUGCCGCGAGUAAUAAUUUUUUUUUUUUAAUUUAAUUGAAGAAUGUCACGAGUAACAUACAUAUAAUAAAUAUCGAAAAAAUUGUGGAUGGCUGGCCCGGCCCGCGGAAAUGAGGAACCACCUUAAAACAAAAGGCCCGGGUCUUUAAAUCACACUGGAUGGUGCGUACUCCCUCUUCUUGGUGAAUUUGAAAAAAAUUGUCGUCUUUAAUCCUUGAUGCUUGAAGCACUAAAAGAAAAAACUUUUUUAUAAAAUAAAUAACAAUCCACGAAUUACAGCCUUGUUUGGCAGGCAAGUUUUUUGCCAAAUUUGUCUGCUACAAGUUUUUUAAAAACUUUAAUUACAAUAAUCUCAAAAAAUUUUUUACAAUUUUUAAACUAUACACUUCAAAAUAUUCAAAAAAAAGGCACACUUCAAAAAAAAUUUUAAAAAUUUUUACAGUAAGUUACAGUAAAGUUUUAGACAAAUAUCUAAAAAACUCACUUGCCAAACGGGAUCUAUAAUAUGAUGCAUGCUGCAAGUAAAUGCCAGCAAGCAUGAGUGUCUCAAUUUAAAUUUAACUUUUAAAUUUUACACAUGUUACAUGUGUGUGUGUAUAUAUAUAUAUAUAUUCUUAUUAGUGUAUACUUUGUUUUUGCAGGUUGCAGGAAAGAUUUUUGCCAGAUUUAAUGAUGGAAAAGUCCACUUUUAAUGCCAGCGUAUGAUGUUGGUAUUUAAAAGAGGAUUGAGGGUUGGAGCAAGAAUCCUUGGAGCAGAGCCGCCGCAAGUUGCGCCAGGUCUUUCCGACGUUCCUCCAGGCUUUUGCCUUUGUCUCUGUUUUUUGGAUAAUUUUUUGCAUUUUGCUACUCAAAUUCUUCCUUCUUUUUCUGAUCUUUUACCGUAAAAAAAAAAAUUCCUUGGAAAGCCAUGCUCCCUUGCAACCUCAGAGGGAGCAAAUUUCCGAUUAAUAACUGGCAAUAUAUAAGAACAAAAGGUGAACAAAGAAAGAAAAUCUUAGAAACAAAAUAUAUGAAUGAGAGAGAGAGAGAGAGAGAGAGAGAAGGGAAGAAAUAGAGCGAAUUAGAAGGAUUGAAGAAACGAUGUUGGGCCGAUUGAAUUCGUUAUGAUCGUUUGUUCGUUCACCGGUACUUGCUUAGUGGGCUGAUGUGUAUGGAAUGGCAGUACGCAGCCCAAUCCCUUCAUGCAAAUGUUAAAUGUACUCAAUCUUUUUUUUUUUCUUUUUAUAAUGUCAUCCUCAUCAUCAUUUUUUAUGAUGUAAUUUUUAUUUAUUAACCUAUAUGAUAAAAAAAAAAAAAAAAAGUACUAAUAUCAUUACAAAAAAAGCGGAGCGGGAUUAAAUUUUAGACUUGUGGCCAGGCUAAGAUAAUAUUGGAUUCCUUUUUUUGUGCUAGUACCAUUUUUUCUGGGAGAAAGAACAUGGAGGGCAGGGAGAAAGAUAAAUAUUGCAUACACCGGAGGAGCUGAGCUUCCUGACUUUUUAAUCCUUAUUGCAUCAGAAUUCAAGAAAAUAAAUAAAUAAUAAAUUAAAAAAAAAGCGACUCACAGGCUACUCUCGGGCUAUUGGUUUUCCAAAUUUUAUGGUUAUUUUACCUCGUUGCACUUUUACUCUUGUUGAUUUUUAAGCAGUUUUGUUAAUCUGAAAUCCUAAGCAAUAAAAAGUGAGAAUUGACAGAGUUUUAUUUUAUAUACACUUGUAACUUCAACAUUAUAGUAUUUGUGAUGUUACUGCAAUCCUUAGAAAUAAAAUAAAAAAAAAAUUUUUGUUGCAAGAAAAACCAUCCAUGAUCCAACCCAAAAUUAUUUGAAUAUGGUCACAUGAAGACUUGUUUCUGCUUGCUGUUCUUUUUUUUUUUUUUUUGUCAGCAACGAUACAUUUAUAUAACCUACUCUAUCCUAAUCUAAGGGGAGGGAGAGUCUAAGGAGACUGUUGUAGGGGCUAGUGGGUAUACAGACCCAAUUAGACCAAGGGAGUGCUAUAGCACAAUCCUUAGAUUUUUUUCAUUACUGAUGAAGUUUGAACUCUCACCAACAGUCCAAGGACCUCCCCGGUGGCCACUGAGCCAUUGGCCCAGUGGUUUUCUGCUUGCUGUUCACUUUGAAGACUUUUUUGGAUUGUUAUUUUUUGGGGAACAAAAAAUCUUAGGAUUUUAAGCACUGUUCCCUCGACACCUUUUUGGGAUAGCUCAUGAAAAAAAAGUACGUCCGGCCAUGCUGUAUGAAUACAAACUUCAAUCCAAUCAGAUUGUAUCAACCUGUACUUGUAUCGGUAUGUUGUUUUGCCUUUUAAAAUGGUGGUAAUUAGAAAUCUGAAGUUCAGCUUUAGUAACUCCAUACUACUAAUAAUAUACCAGAGUAAUGCAGGGAAGACUCCCCAUCUCUCAUCCUACCACAUCUAGACUUUCCUCUCUUCAUUACUUCCGACUUCUACACAAUCUCUAGCUAUGGAAGUAGAAACCCUAGUUCCCUCCCCGCCUCUCAGAACUUACAAGCUCACGGCUUCCUCAAUUUCCUACGCCAAAAGCACCGCAUCCAGCAAUAUCCCACCAGCCGCCGUCCUCUUCAAACCCUGCGUUUCUUCUCCGCCAACUUACAUAUUACGAGACGUGUCUCUUUCCGCAUAUCCAUCCCAAAUCCUUGCAAUUGUUGGGCCAAGCGGCGCUGGAAAAUCCACCCUGCUUGACAUUUUAGCCACCCGAACAUGUCCUACCGGCGGCACUCUCCUUCUAAAUUCAAAGCCACUCAACCCUUCCGCCUACAGAAAGCUUUCGGCUUACGUCCCUCAGCACGAUGCAUGCCUGCCUGAGCUCACCGUCUCCGAGACUUUCGCCUUCGCUGCUCGCCUCCUCAACCCACCAACAUGCGAAAUUCCGACAAUUGUGGAGUCCCUCAUGGCGGAGCUGAGGCUAACUCACCUGGCCCACACCCGGUUAGCUCACGGUCUAUCGGGCGGAGAACGUCGACGGGUUUCCAUAGGCCUUUGCCUCCUCCACGACCCUGCCGUCUUACUCCUGGACGAACCAACAUCCGGGCUUGAUAGUAACUCAGCUUUCAAAGUAAUGCAGACCCUCAGAUCAAUCACCGACUCGCGUCACCGCACUGUGAUCUUAUCCAUUCACCAACCCAGUUCCAAGAUUCUCUCUACCAUCGAUAACAUCCUCUUAUUAUCAAAAGGAACAGUCGUGCACCAGGGUACGCUCUCUUCGCUCGAAGCCUUUUUGCUGUCCAAUGGGUUCACCGUCCCGCCACAGUUGAAUGCGCUGGAGUAUGCCAUGGAAAUUUUGCAUCAGCUCCAUAAGAACGCUAAACCCGCCGACACAGAUCAGCCAAUGCUUCCUCCGUCACCUUCUAAUUAUAACGUCGAGGUCGUCCGAUAUAGGAGCUCAAGAGUGCACGAAAUAGUCGUUCUGUAUCAGAGAUUUUGGAAGAUCAUUUUCAGGACGAAACAGCUUCUGGUGACUAACACGUUUCAAGCUCUAGGGGUUGGUCUUGUUUUGGGAACAAUCUAUGUCAACAUAGGGUUCGAUAAGGCCGGUAUCGAGAAGAGAUUAGGACUCUUUGCCUUCACUCUCACGUUCCUUCUCUCCUCCACAACUGAAACUCUUCCGAUCUUCAUCAACGAAAGGCCUAUUCUCCUAAGAGAAACUUCCAGUGGGGUUUACAGGUUGUCAUCCUACCUUGUGGCCAACACGCUAGUCUUCCUGCCCUACCUGCUUGCCAUAGCUAUUGUGUACUCGAUUUCGGUUUAUUUCUUGGUGGGGCUUUGUGCUACGUGGCAAGCUUUCGCAUACUUUGUCUUAGUCAUUUGGGUCAUAGUUCUGAUGGCCAACUCUUUUGUUCUCUUUUUAAGCUCCGUGACGCCGAAUUAUCUCUCCGGAACAUCACUGGUGACGGUGCUUCUCGCCGGGUUUUUCCUCUUUUCCGGCUACUUUAUCUCUAAAGAUAGCCUGCCCAAAUUCUGGCUGGGCAUGCAUUACUUUUCCAUGUACAAGUAUGCCCUUGAUGCACUGCUGAUCAACGAGUACUCUUGUCUGAUAUCAAGAUGCCUGAUAUGGUACGAUGAAAACAAGACAUGCAUGGUCACAGGACGUGAUGUGCUGGAUAAAAGAGGGCUCCAUGAAAGGCAGCGAUGGACAAACGUUUACAUCUUGAUUGGGUUCUUUGCUUUUUAUCGGCUACUUUGUUUGAUUGUUUUACUCAGAAGGGUUUCCAGGUCCAAGAAAUGAAAGAAUUCUGGUGGUCACGUGUAUUAUUUAGGUGAUGAAAACAUCUUCACAGUUUGUAAUCAGCAUGUUUGUGCACAAGUGGUUUUGAUCAUUACAGUACCUGUUCCAUGGAGUCUAUGAUUUUAGCAAUUGGCCCUGUUAACUACGUAUUUAGUUAAUCAGAAACCAUCAUAGAUCAAGAAAACACACUUCUUUUCUUAAUUUCUUCGCUUGGUUUUCUUAUAUUAGGUAAACUAAUGAGCGUCUAAUGUGAUUCUUUGCUCCUGCUAAAAGCUAGAACCAUAUGUAACCGCGUUUUUGACCGGGCCGGUUUAGUCCAAUUUGUUGAAAAAGAGGAACUACACUGUACCAAUAAUUUCUUUGGAAUAAUUGAUGGUGCGCAUCAAUUUUGGGCACUCUUUUACACAAUUACAACUUUCACUUCUCAUCACCUGAUGUGUAAGCCUGAAGAUUACAUCCAAAACCGUACAUAUUUCCAUGAAGUUUUUUCUUUUUUUAUGUUAUAUAUUUUAUACAUGUACUUACUCGGGGCCAUCUAUGCUACCAGUUGAAGGGCAUUAACUGGACCCAGAUCCUGUGAGUAUUGUUUUAAGAAAUGAAUAAAUAACACGCAAACCUGCUCGUUGUAUUUUAAUGAAACUAUUUUUCAGUCAGUGUGGGAGGAGCAGGUCCCCUUCUUCGCAACGACUUCUGUGCUUGAUGAUCUCUAAACCAAUGAAGUUUAUUUCAAUAUUUUGCUUAGGAAAAAAGAGAUAAGGAGAGACAAGUUAGGAUUCUUGUUCUAUAUAUUUGUUCCGAAAACAAAAAGACUACUCGAAAAAGUUGCAUCACGAUCCAUUCUGGGCUAAUAAUUCUCAACCUAGAAGUCCCAAAUUAACUAUCAAUUGAGUUGCAGUGAAGGCUGACGCGGCAACAAGACAAGAAUUUUGAGCAGUAGUGAAUUGAAUAAAUGAAGAGAAUAAGAAGUUGGGAUCUCAUCAGCAAUAUAUCCACCCAUGAGCAAAGUCACGGGCUGUUGCUGCACAGAUGAUACCAAGCAAUACGAACAAUACGAGGCUCUCGUCGUUAUUUGCUGAAUGGGGGGAGGCGGGGCCGUUUGUUUGAUCAUUGAUGAUGCAGAUGGUGAAGAUUGAACACUAAAUACAUAAUUUAACUGCUGAAUUUUUGUUUGCAUCCCUACUGGUGAUUCUAACCAGUGUUUCUUCACGGGUUCGUCUUUUUCUCCCCAACACGUGAACUCUUUCGUGAUUUCUUGAUAAUUGCAAGCUGUGACCGAGUGGUGAGUACCUACAACUAUAGCAUACAACUUUUACUCCCUUCCCUUCUUGUCUUUGCUCUUUUUUUUCUACAGCAAAUAAGAUUGAGAAUUCUAUUUGUGACUCCACCCACCCUUUGAUGGUUUAUGCCUUCAAAAUAAAGAAAGAAGGAAGUUGUAAAUUUUGUAAGCAGCUCUCACAUUUAGCAAGGCAUAUUAUUCACAAUGCUUUCACAUUUCUGUUGACAAGUAAAUCCGUAACCGCUAUUCAAUAAUAUGCACUAAAAAAAUCCUACUCUGUGCAAUAACCCGACAUCCACACGAAGAGGUAAGAUGCAUUAGACAAGUUUUGUGUAAUGGGCGGAUGUUCCAACAUUUAUCCUUUACUUCUCGCUAAUCUAUCCAUCCAUGAUUUAUCCUUUACUUCUAGAGGUGUCAAAAUGGGUGACUUGGGUGGGUUUGGGUUGGGUAAAAUGGGUAAUGGGUAUAAGUGAGUCAACUCAUUUAUACCCAUUUAAUUAGAUGGGUAUAAAUGGAUAAGUCAAAAAAUGAAUUGGGUAAUCCAAUUACCCAUUUAUAACUCAUUUAUUUUAAAUUUUUGUAAAUUCAUUUAAAUUCAUUUUUGCAAACUAAGUUAGCAAUUUAUACCACUCUUUGUACCCAUCAUUAGUUUUAAAUAUUUACUUAUAAUGUUCAAUAAACUUAAUUACCAAUUUUUUUUUCAUUUAUACUCUAUGUCACAAAAUUACCUAUUAUUUAAUAAUUGAAUAAUAAGAAUAUAAAAAUUUGAACUGAGUACUAUAAAAAUUAAUAUAAAAACUUAAUCCAAAAAUUUUGAACCCCUAACAUUUUUUUCAUAUAUAAAUUUAAAAUUUCAUUUUAUAAAGAUAAGAAAAUAUGCUAAAAUUUAUCAUAAAUUGGUAAUGCUAAAAAAUGAGCAAGUUAACAAACUAAAAGAAAAUAAAAUAAUAAGAUAAAACCAACAAAUAAUAAUAAUAAUAAUAAUGAAACAAAAGUUGUUGACAUCAUGACAAAAUGAAAAUUUUGAAAAAAAAAAGGUGGGGAAAAGAAAAGACUUGGGGGGAAGAGAAUUCUAAAUGGGUUAAUUGGGUUUGAUGGGUUACCCAAUAAUACCCAUUUAUUAAAUGGGUAUUAUUAGGUAACCCAUUUAUACCCAUAUACAAAAAUUUAAAAUACCCAUACCCAUCUAUUCAUAGGCGGGUAUGGGUAAAUUUAGUUAGGUGGGUUGAUUUGCCACCUCUAUUUACUUCUUACUAAUCUAUUAAUACUUGCAAGCCAUAAAAAAGAACAAAAUUUUCACAAACACCAUCGCUCAAUUUAUAUUUGCAGGUCAAAGUCAAAGUCAUGACAGCGGGGAACAUUCAUUAAUAAUACUGGACCAAAAUAUCUGUUUUCAUCUGCUUUUGGCGUCCAUUUAGUAACAACGUGGAGAAGAAUUUGCAUCAGGAAUCAAAGCUAUACUUGUUUCUGGUCCAAAGCAAAAGAUAUCACACAAUGGAAUAACCUUUGACACAUGCCCGACCACCUGAGAAAAGCCCAUUGUCUAAAUUUGGCCCAUUUUUUCAAAUCCAUGACUGUGUGAUUUUUCCAGCCCAAAAACAAACUGGUUAUGAACCGAAACCAACCGAGGCCGUAAGUUAGAUGAACCUUCGUCAACUUUGCGGCAUUCAUGAUCCAACUACGGUGACCUGUACCUUGAUGGACGAACUGCGUUACGUUAUUUAUUUAUUUAUUUAUUUAUUGGUUAUUAUCACUUUACCCCGUUAACGUUUGGUGUCACUAUCAAUUUUUUCCUUAACAUUAUCUUUUAGUCACUUUACCCCUAAGACUAACGGUCAAAUUUAACGGAGUUUGUUAAUUAACGUAAAAAAGACAAGUUUAGCCCUUAAAGUUAUUAUCAUUUUACCCCCAUAUACUAUAAUCUCAAUAUCAAUUUACCCCAUAGAGUUAUUUUUUAGGCAAUUUAUCCCACUAUUAAACCAACUUAGCUAGUUUAAAAACUUUUAAAAAAAAGUACCCUCUUUUUUUGUAUAACAAAAACAAUAAAAAAUUUAGAGUGGCUCUUCUCCUCUCUAGUAUCAAGAAAAAAAGUCAAAAUAUUAAUUUUUUUCUAGCAAACUUAUUAUUAUUUUAAAAAAAAUAGAAAGGUCGGAAGGGGGAGGGAGAAGGGGAGAGAGAGAGCUCAAUUCUUUUUUUAGAAUAUCCAAAUAAGAAAGAAUUAAAUACUUUUAUUAUUUUAAAAUUAUUUCACUUUACUAUUUACCACCAGAUUGCAAUCAUAAUCCCAACAACCUUAAAUUAAUAUGAUAAUGUUAGACUUUUUUUUCUUUGCAAAAUCUAAUUUUCUGUCUCCUUCUUUCCUGUCUCCUUUUCUUUUUAUAGUAUUAAUAAGUGUGAAAUUUUUUUUUAAGAAAAUCCUUUUAUUUUUCUAUUUUUUGAUCUCUUAAAGUGAAAAAAAAAGAAUAAUCAUUCUAAAUUUUUUAUUUUUAAUUAUAUAUAAGGGUAAAUAUAUUUAAAAUUUUUUACUAUAGUAGUUAGAUUACCGAUGAAGUAAAAUUUCAAAAAAAUAAUGUUAUGAAUUAAAUCAAUUAUAUCACUAUUAUUUAAAGGAAUAAAGUGAUAAUAACAGUGUAAUAAUGCUACAGAAUAAAAGGGUAUUUUUGUCCAAAAUUUCUUAACAUGUUUAGCAGCUCUAUAGUUUAAGGGGAUAAAGUGAUAAUAAUCUCUUAUUCUUCAUUCAUGUGAAACUUUUCUGUUUACUUUCUCAUUUUAUUCAAGAAAUUACUUCCUUCGAUAAGUACAAGCACUAGAUUAAUGAACGCCUAUGAGUGAUUUUCUAAUUCGAUUUGAGUUAGUAGUAUUACUAUUAUCCAAAAGGACAACAAAAUCGAUUUGAAAGCUGUAAAUAAUUAAUUUGCCUGUGUUUGUGUCUACCAAUUAGUAGUACCCCACAAAGGCCCAACAUUCAACUUAAAAUAGCUGAACACAGCUCAUAUGACGGUGUUGGAGUUAGCGGCGGCAUCUGGAAUUGCAUCAGAUGGGAACCAAAUUCAACUGUCUUAACUUCAUGUCUUGCUGUUACCCAAAAAUAUAUAUAUAUAUGAUUUCGGACUUGAUCAGAUAUCGACUCAAUCGAAUUUAGGAUUAAAGGUUAAUAGAUUGGAUCGAAUUUGACAUAGAGUCGAAUCGAAUAAUAUCAUAAAUAUGUCAUAUAUACAUGUAGGCCUGUCAACGGGUCGAGUUUGGGUCGAAAUUCAGUAUUCCGGACUCGGACCCGGCGAUCAUAUCGGACCCGGAUUCGACCCGUUUAUCCGACGGAUCUUCUACUCUAUGUUCCGGAUCCGGAUCCGACGGGUCUCGAAUCCGAGUCGGGCCUACCGGAAAAAAUUAUCAGAAUUUACAAUUUCUAAUAAAAAUGGCAAAAAAAUAUAUAUUUGCAAACUAAUUUCUAACUAAUACAAAAAAAAAAUCAAAUAAAAAAAGAAAUCAAAUUGAUUUUACUCAAAUACAUCACCCUAAUCUAAUUAUAUUGAUAAAUAUAUAUAUUUUAAAUUAUUAAUCCAUUUAUAUCCGGAUCUGGGUCUAAUAUGGACCGGAAUACUAUAUUCUGUAUCCGACCCGUUUUUUUGUUUGACAAAACGGAUCCGGAUCCGAGUCCGGAUAAGGGAAUUAAAUCUCUACCCGUAUCCGCAAAAAAUUCAUAGAUCCGGUUCGGGUCCGGAUCUAGACCCAAACCGUUGACAUGCCUAUAUACAUGUAUAUAUAUAAAUAUAUACCCAUUCCUUUUCUUGUAAAAAUAACCAAGAACCCAAAAUUCACCAAUCAACAAGAAUAAUCAGCAAUCACUUGGCGCCAACGAGUAGCAAAAAGGACUAACCAAAAUUAACAAGUUGCAUGUCCUUUUUAAUCAAGAAAAAAAAAAAGCAAAAUCAGGACUCUUUAUGAUCUUCAGAACAAAUUACACCAAAGGAGAAGUGGCAGCAAAAAUGACGAAAUCCGGCGGCGGUGGAUGACCCUGUUGGUAGCGGCAGUGGUGAUUUGGUGGAGAAGCUAGGGUUAGUUAGGAACGACCGCAGAUAUUCGCAUUUGGGAAACUUCUGCUUGGGUAGAUACUGCUUUGUUUGGAUUGAAUUUUUAUAGAUUUUUUAUAGAAAAAUUACUAUAAAAAUUUGAUAUAGAUAUAUAUAUAUAUAUAAAAUAAAAUGAUGGGUGGAAAUUUUGAUCACGAAAAAAUAAUGUAGCAAUUUUUUAAAGAAGACUUCCAAUCCAAUCAAAGCCGCCCUACUUGUUUGCUUGAUUUAUCGGUCAAGGUCUGUUAUGGUUUACAAAGUCAACUGGUGGACCCGGGGACUUCGGCCCGCCUAUUGGUCCUAGUUAGAAACCCGGACCCCUUUUACAAGGUGUAACGUCUUUUCAACAUGAAUACGUCCAAAAUACAUAGUACUGCAUAGACUCCGCACCCCCCACUAAAAUCUGAUUCCCCUUUCCGCUGUUCCACCUGCAUUUGCACGCUACCAUACUGACCAUCACAUGUGUACAACAAAGACCCAAGAACAUUCAGUCCUUGAUCCUCAAGUAAACAUACCAGCACUUCUUCUAUAAAAUUAUUAUAAAAUUAAUUCAUGGUUCAAUUUUCAAACCCUUUCCUCUUUCUUCCUUCCCACUUCUACUAUGUAAGAAAAAAAAAUGCAUAAAUAAAUAAAUAAUGAAUCUGACCUGAAGACCCGACCCGGUUUGAGAUGCAUGCCUGGGAGACUUGCGGCAACUGCUCCUAGCAAGGGUCAGCCGCAAGUUUGACUUAUAGGACUAGCCAAAUCCGAGACAUGGGCGAGUGCAACACUUGUUUCCAUGAUGACGCUGCUGUCAAACACUCAUUUGGGAAAAAAUCCAAAGAAUUAACAGAGCGACAUAAUACGUUUUUGAGGGUUCCGAGGAAAGCCUCAAAACCUUAACUCAGAUUCUACUAGUGCUUCAUUAUUUCGGAUUAAAAUUCCGUGUCAACUCUCCUCUCGAGGGGUUUGCCGUUUGAUGAGGGUCCAAACUGGUUUUGUGUUCCGGUUCCCUUCGAUAAAAUUGGUUCUGUCUGUGCAAGUAUGCAAAUGCAACAGCCCCUUUCCGUCUUCAAUUAAUUCAUUGACACCCGAACUUUCUUGUGACAAUUUGAAGUUUCAUAAACUAAACAUACUGUCAUAUGUUAUACUCAAAAUAUAUUUGUUGACAUUUAUAUAACAAUAAAUCCUUCCAGUAACAAAUAUAGCUGGAGUGUUUGCACAAAUAAACCCAUUCAUAGGGUUUAUUAGUUUAUUAUUGCAGUGAGACUGGUGCAAGAAAAUGCGGCUAAUUCCCAGCUUACUCCAGCUUCCUCCAGGAUUCUACCAAUUUGGCCAAUGCCACAGUGGAUGAGCCCCCAUCAGCCAUUGCUUGCUUUGCUUCCUCUUUCUUUGCCUGGGCUCUUUGCCUGAUCACCUUUGCUUCUUCCGAAUCCAUCAACCCCCUAACUCGCUUCUCGAUUUCAGCCGCUUUCACGAACCCACCUUCCGUACUUUCAUCCAUUGGUAAGGCCAACUUCAUCUCCUCAACUAAGAACAGCUUAUUCAGCUUCUGCUCAGCAUAAAGUGGCCACCCCACCAUAGGCACACCCGCACGGACUGCUUCCAACACUGAGUUCCACCCGCAGUGGGUCACAAACCCACCCACCGACCCAUGAUUCAACACAUCCACCUGCGGUGCCCAAGAACUCACCAUGAAACCCCUAUCCUUUGUCCGGUCCAAAAACCCGUGGGGAAGCAACAAAUCCAGACCUGGGGCGGGUGGAGUUUGAAAGCGGCUGGUUUUGUCCUCAGAAGGUGGACUGCGCACCACCCACAGGAACUUUUGCUCGCUCCUCUCCAACCCGAUGGCUAUCUCUUUCAGUUGCUCAGCUGGAAAUCGACCCAAGCUCCCAAAGCACAAGAAUACAACGCUUUGACUUGGUUGCAUGUCCAGCCAUUUCAAACAUUCAUGCACACCUCCUCCUGUUUCACCUGCUGCACCUCCACCUUUCCCGUUGUCUGAUGCAAUCAGAGGUCCUAAGCUGAAAACAGGCGGAGUGGGGCCAUCCGGAACAUACUUUCCAUCAGCGAUUGAUUUCAAGAUGUUAGGUUCGAGCGAUUCGAACGUGUUGACUAGGAUCCCCGACGAAUUUGCCAAUUGCGUCGCAGCAUCUAAGAAAAAUGCAUACUCAGGAGACGUUCUUUCCAGCAAAGGAACUGGCAUGUCUCGUGGUGGUAUUGGAGGUAAAUCAGGAACAUGUAAAAGUUCGCCCAGGUCUUUAUAGCUUUUGUUUGUUGAUUGGUGGAGCGUGCGUAAGUAAAGGAGGAGAGCGAGACAAUUAGCGCCAGAAGUGAAGAAGUAAUAAGUCGGGAUUCCAAGGUUGGUCGCAACAGAGAGGGCACAAGUGCAAAAGAAGUCGAUGAUGAAUGCAGAGAUUCCAGCUGUCAAGGAGAUGGAGUGCAGAGCUUGGUGAACAUGAGGGUUGCUGAGUCGAAGGAGCUCGAAGUGGAGAGCUUCUAUGGAGGGGUAAGAGUCAGGGUCAAGAGGCGGAGAGGGCAGGUGGUGGAAAGUGAUGGAAGGGGUGGUGGCAGAAAUGCGAUUCAUGUAAGCAGCAGUGGAGGCUGCAGUGUUGUAUGGCGGGUUCACCACGAGAAUAGUAACAGCCAAUCCAGGGUGGUGGUUGAGAGUGAACUUACCCAGCUCCACCAUGGAAACCAGGUGACCCAUGCCUGGAGAUGGAUACAGAACUAUAGUACGAUUACUCGCCAUCUCUCUAUCUCUAUUUGUUCGUACACCCAAUUUCCACAAUGCUACGCGACUCUUUGAGCCAAUUGAGAGCCUCAAAAUUCCAAGUUCCAAAUAAAUAGAGAGUAACUUCCUUCAACUUUCCAUAGCCAAUAAAUGCAAUCAACUGACUAUGCUUUGUCAAGUUACCGUAGGCAAAAUCAAGGGAUAAUUUCAGAAACCUCCCCUGAGGUUUAUGACAAUUUCACAUAGCUCUAUUAAGGUUUGAAAAAUUACACAUAUCUCUCUUGUUAUUUAAAAUGACAAUACUACCCUUAAAUUUCCUUGUUUGAUAUGCUUAUACUUAGAAUGAAUUUAAACUUAUUUUUCAUUCUUUUUCCUUUUUAUUUUAUUUUUUUGCCAAUAAAAUUAUAAAAUUACUACUAUUAUCUCUAGUUUCUAUUGUGAUCAAAUGUCGAACUAAUGAUUUUUUUUAUGAGUUAACUUUAUAUAUAAUCCAAUGUUUUUUGCUAAUCUUUGUUUUUUAUUUUUUGGUAUUAAAAUUAACAAUAAAUCAAAAAAAAUUGUCCAAAAUCACUACUAAAUUAUGAUAAUUCUACUACUCAAAAAAUUCAUAAACUCUGAAUCAAUUAUUUUAAUAUUUUAUUUUCUAUAUUAUAAUAUAAAUUCAUAAUAAAAUACCAUCAAAAGUAUUCUAUCAUAGUGAUAAAUUAUUAUUAUAAUUGUUUAUUAAAUAGUAGGUAUGGACAUGAAAAAUUUGGCACCUUUUCCUUAUAAUUACAUUAGAUAAUCUUAUAAUUCUAUAGAGAAGUAAUUUAAAACUUAUUACACAAGUGCAUUUUUGGGUAUUCAUUUAAAAAUUUGAUUAAAUCAAUAUUAUUUUAUGAUUUUGUUACUAACACUAUUAAAUCAAGGGAGGUAUGUACAGUUUUUUAAAUUUCGAAGGAGCUCAGUGAAAUUGUCAGAAACCUCAGUGAAAUUUUUUAUAAAUAAGGUUCAUCAAAAUUACAUUUCAUCCUUAGUUUUAUAUUCAUUAAACUUUUAACCUUCUUUUAUUAAUAAAUUGAUUCAUUUUUUAUAAAAUAAAAUAAAGCUUUAGCUGAUUAAAUGAGUAUUUCUUUGGAUUUGUAAGUACACUCAACAAAUUAAUAAAUUAAUAAUUUAUUGAUUAAUUAAUAAUACUUUUUAAAUUAAUAGAAUUUGCAAGGUCCCAAAAUUAUUAAUUUAUACAGAUUUUACUGUAGUAGUUAAAAGAUACUAUCCGACUCGUUAUGAACUCUUGGGCGUCUGUCGUGAGCAAGUUUGUUUUUAUAGGUCGAAAGAGGUAUACCGAUUGGCUAUAAAAUGUAGUAAAUGGUAUAAAUUAAGUUGGUAUCAUGCAUAGAAAAAUGGUAGCUUAUGCAUAUAGAGUCAAUCAAGUAGCAAAUUGGAGACUAGAAAGCGAGGCGCAACAAAAUGGACUAUGUAGCUUCUGUUUUUGGUUUGCUUUAAUUAACUUUAAAUUGCAUACGGAGAAUGAAGGCUGAAAACGUUGUUGAAGGGUUUUAAAGGUUUGCCACUAUAAGAGUUUGGGAGAAACAAGCGAGAUUCAGUUUGCUCAAAAAAAAAAAAAAAAAAAAGGAGGCUGGACACGGCGACCACUUUUAGAAAAGAGAAAAUUCCCUUAUUUAUAAAUUGGUCCAGAACCUUAAAAUAAAUAACAAGCCCGUCAUGUCCAUUGGACACGGUUAUCACUUUAAAAAAAAUAUUCUUCAUUUAUAAAUUGGUCCAUUGACCUUAAAAUAAAUAAAAGCAAAUUAUUUGGAUAGUCACUAAACUUUUUAAAUAAUAGUUGAGUUUUAGUCACUUAACUAUUAAUAGUAUAUUUUUACACACUAAACUAUUAAAAAUAUAAAUUUUGAAUCAUUCUAUCUGAUUCCACCAUUAAUUUUGACAAAUCCAAAUAUUAAUAGUAUAUCUAAUAAGUUAUGUGAAUUUUUAGAUCGGACAGAAUUAACAGUUGAAUCAAAUGAAACAGCACAACAUUUACACACUUAAUAUUUCAAUGGGUAAAAAUAUAUUAUUAAUUGUUAAGUGAUCAAAUCUUGACUAUUUAAAAAUCUAGUAGUUACCCUGGUAAUUUGCUCAAAUAAAUAUCUUCCCAAGGAAAUAGGUGGAAAGGUUUCACAAGAAAGUAGAAGAGAUGUCAACAACAGCAAAAUAUCAGGCAGCUUAUGGAAGCAGUUAAUUCCUUUAAAUACUCACUAAACUAGGUACUAGAGAGACAUUCCUUCAGCAUUCCAUCAUUCUCUGGUUUUAACUACAUUAAGGUGGCGUUUGGAAAAUAGGGUUUCGGAAUGGAGAAUUGGAAUAAACCCCAUGAUUUAUGUUUGGUUCACUACUAUCGGAAUUGAAAUUUUGGAAUGAUAGUUAAAAUUUAGCAUUUCACCAUUCUUUAGUAAGUUGGUGGGUUUUGUCCAAAACUCAAGUGUGAUUCUAAAAUCUUAUAAUUGCAUAAUAUUUAGUAUAAUUAAUAUUUAUAUAAAUUAUAUAUAUUAUAUAUUUAUAUUUAUAUUAUAAUAUAUACAUAUAUAUAUGAUAUAUUAUAAUUAUAAUAUUUUAUUAUAAUAUUAGUAUAUUAUAUAAAUAUAUAUUAUAAUUAUAAUAUAUACAUAUAUAUGAUAUAUUAUAAUUAUAAUAUUUUAUUAUAAUAUUAGUAUAUUAUAUAAAUAUAUAUUAUAAUUAUUUAGUUAAAUAUAAUUAUAUUUAUAUAAUAUAUAUUAUACAUUUAUUAAUAUUAUAUAAUAAUAUAUUUAUAAUAUAUACGUAUAUUUAUAAAUGUAUAUUGUAUGUGCAUAUAAUUAUAAUAUAUACAUGUAUAUAAUAUUAAUAAAUUAUAUAAUAAUAAUUAUAUUAUUUUAAAUAUAUUAAUAUAUAAUAAUAACUAUAUUUAAUAUUAAUGUGCAUUAUAUUUAUAUAAAAUAUUAGUACAAUUAAUAUUUAUAUAUUAUAUAAUUAUAAUUAUAUAUUUAUAUUAUAACAUUUGUAUAAUUAUAAUUAAUUAUAUAAUAUUUAAUUUAAUUAGUUACAAACUUAUAAUAAUGAUAUUAUUAUAUUAUUAUAUUAUAUAUUAUAUAUUAUAAUUAUUUAGUUAAAUAUAAUUAUAUUUAUAUAAUAUAUAUUAUAAAUUUAUUAAUAUUAUAUAAUAAUAUAUUUAUAAUAUAUAUGUAUAGUUAUAAAUGUAUAUUAUAUGUGCAUAUAAUUAUAAUAUAUACAUGUAUAUAAUAUUAAUAAGUUAUAUAAUUAUUAUUAUUAUUAUUUUAAAUAUAAUAAUAUAUAAUAAUAACUAUAUUUAAUAUGUAAUAUAUAUUAUAUUUUUAUAUAAAAUAUCAGUAUAAUUAAUAUUUUUAUAUAUUAUAUAAUUAUAAUUAUAUAUUUAUAUUAUAACAUUUGUAUAAUUAACAUAUGUAUUAUAUAAUGUAUAUUAAUUUAUGUAAUAAAAUUUAUAUUAUCAAUUAUACUAAUAAUUAUACAUGUUUACUAAUAGAAAUUAUUAAUUAGUUAUACUAAAUUUACUAAUAUUUUUAUACUAAUAUAUUUAAUUAGUGAAAAUUUCUUAUAUCCCAUUUACAAAGAACCAAUGACUAUCAUUUACGAUGUGAUUUAUAAUAUAUUUAUUAUAUUCCAUUCCGAAAGAGCCAACGAACCAAACAUCAACUAUAGUAAUGAUACACAUUCCAGGUACUUGAACCAAACAGAUGUAUUGGAAUGAAUGACUUUAUUCCAAACCCAGGAUAUCCGAUUCCAAAUUCGAAUCCGACUCCGAUGUGCGAACCAAACGCCACCUAAAACCUUUGUACGUGUCUUUCCAAAAACUAUAAAAGACCUAUUUGAGUCAAACAAACCACAAAAGUGAAGUUUGAACUUUGAAGAAAGAGCAGCAGAUUUACGAGACAAAAGUGAAGUUUGAAGAAAAAGCAGCAGAUCUAAAAAGUUAACAAAACAAAAUUUAAACUCGUUGCAUCACGAGACGCACACAGACCUACAGAUUUGCUGCCAAAGAAUUAAACAAUAAUCGGUACAAGUCACAAAAGAAUUGACAAUGCAUAUAUAUCAGCCAAUUAAUGAUACUAUGUUAAGUACUGAAUGACACCCUGCGACUUACCUAAUUGGAUUUCCUGGUGAAUACAGUCGAUUCUUGACAACAUACUCGACAUACAAGUUGUAUAUGUGCUCGGGGGAUUCCCUUCAAUCACCUGUCCUAGGAUGAGUUACCAGGAUGACCUGUAAAACCAAUAAAUACAUGGGGAAGAAGAGAUUUUUCAUGUUCACAAGAGAGAGUUUUUCAACUUGUCAUGGAAAAAAGCUAUGCUAACUGCCAGCAAGUGAUAGUCAGACAACAGAUAAAUGUCUUGAUACUCUUGCUACAUAGCCAUCUAUAUGAAUGCAAGCAUAUAUACUCAUGCAAUCAUCUGGACAGACCUUAAUCCCAGAUGGAAAGUUAGUAGGUAUUAGUGCGGAAGCUGUGAAACGAACAUCCCUGUCCAGGUAAUUGUGGGACUCCAAGAUUUCCUUUGUCAACGCUGCCAAAGAGAUCAAACAAUAAUGUAAGAAAGUAACUCUUAUUAGUAUGUCUUCAAAGAUAUGAUUAAGAAACAUUUUUAUACCAGGACAAUAAUGAGAUGCAAAACUAGUCUUCAGGAUUACUUUCAAUUCGACCAAAAAAUGGCCAAUCCUUUCUGGUAAAAAUUCUCACAUCAGACCAUCAAGCUGCUACUAUGGGUGGUCAUUUAAGGUGCACAUGUAUUGACUCAUGAACUUCUUUAUAUACAUCAACAAAACUUCUUUAUAUACAUCAACAAAUGCGCAUGUGUUUACCACCACUAUGCUCAUCAAUCACUCUUGUUUUUUACACGAUUACAAAAGAAUGCCCAAACUUUAGUAAUGCCUAUCAAAGUACUUGUGAUCAUGAGGCAGAUUAUUAUCUUUCUCCUUGGGCAUGAACCUCGUAUUAAACUGCCUUGACAAUGGCCUGACAGUCUGGUUGGAGAAAUGGAUCAUCUUUUUCGGAAUUAAAAAGCUAGAAAAGAAAAAUUGUAAUGCUAAUGCACGUUAUGGAGGCCAAGUUGAUUAUCAGACAACUUGGGGGGGGGGGGGAAUUGGGAUUAACCAAUACGUAAGUUGAAUCAAGCGUCAAGUGCAAUAACAAAAGAAAAAGGUCGUGUAAUUAUUAGAAACGAAAAAAUAUAUACUUGUGGAGUUGAGCAACAGGGGGAUGGGAGGAACGAGGAUGAGCAGCGACAGCUAGGGACCGGGAAGGGUAGUGGACAAUGGCUUGGCUUGGCUUGGCUUGCUGGCUGGCUGGCUGGUUAGAGAGGAGCGGAGGGGAUCGGGCUAUUAGGCUACUGGCAGUAAAUUUUACUACUGCUAAACAUUUUUUAUGUUUUGCUUUUCAAGUUUGGGAUAAAUUUGGGAAUCAUGGUUCCUGAAAACCUACCAAUCAUCAUUCCUCCCUUUGCUGUUUUUUCUUUUGAUGGAGAGCUGAAAACCUCCCAAUCUAUGCGGGUACAGCCUACAGAGUUUUGAUGAAUCUUUCCAAAAAUCUCAUACCCACGUGGCCAUACCCUGUUGCCAAAACUUAGGGCCUGUUUGGAACUUGAAUUUUUUGGAAGUUUGUCUAAAACUUUACUGUAGUGCACUGUAGAAGUUUUUGUAAGGUGAAAAACUUUUUUGUAGAAGUUUUUGAAAUGUUACUGUAGACGUUUUUUGAAUUAUUUUUAGAGGUAUUUUUAAAACAUAUUUUUGAGUAUUUUAUAAUUUUUAUAUUCUUAAACAUUUAUGCAUUUAUAAUACAUUUAUAAUAUUUAGAAAUAAAUAUAUUUAUAUAAAAAUAUAUAAAUGUAUUAUAUUAUAUAUAAUAGGUAAUAUACAUAUAUUUAUAAAUGUAUAAAUAUAUAAUUAAUAUAAAUGUAUAAAUUAUAAAUGAAUAUUAUAUAAAUGUAUAAAUUAUAAUUUAUAAUUUAUAUAAUAUUCAUUUAUAAUUUAUACAUUAUAUUAAUUAUGAUAUAUGUAUAAAUGUAUAAUUAAUAUUGUUUAUAAUUUAUAAUUUUUAUUGUUUAAAUAUUUAUAUGCAUUUAUGCAUUUAUAAUACAUUUAUAAAUAUUUAUAAAUAAAUAUAUUUAUAUAUUUAUAUAAAAAUAUAUAAAUGUAUUAUAUUAUAUAUAAUACAUAAUAUACAUAUAUUUAUAAAUGUAUAAUUAAUAUAAAUGUAUAUAUUAUAAAUGAAUAUUAUAUAAAUGUAUAAAUUAUAAUUUAUAAAUAUAUAUGAUGAUUAUAUAUAACUGUAUUAAUAUAAUUAAUAUAAAUGUAUAAAUGUAUUAAUAUUAUGUAUAAAUGUAUAAUGAAUAUUGUUUAUAAUUUAUAAUUUUUAUUGUUUAAAUAUUUAUAUAUAUUUAUGCAUUUAUAAUACAUUUAUAAAUAAAUAUAUUUAUAUAGUUAUAUAAAAAUAUAUAAAUGUAUUAUAUUAUAUAUAAUACAUAGUAUAAAUAUAUUUACAAAUGUAAUAAUUGUAUAUUAUUAUAAAUGAAUAUUAUAUAAAUAUAUAAAUUAAUAUAUUAUAAAUAUAUAAUAUUAUGUAUAAAUGUAUUAAUAUAAUUAAUAUAAAUGUAUAAAUGUAUUAGUAUUAUGUAUAAAUGUAUAAUUAAUAUUGUGUGUUAAUAUUAUGUAUAAAUGUAUUAUGUUAUACAUAAUACAUAAUAUAAUUGUAUAUAAAUAUACAUAAAUAUAUAUACAUAAAUGUGUAAUAUAUAUAAUAUGUAUUAUAUAUAUUAAAUAUAUAAUAUAUAAUAUUUAUAUAAAUGUAUAAUUACAUAUUUAUGUUAAUAUUAAUUUAUAUGGUAUAUAAUAUUUAUAUAAAUAUAUAAAAAUAUAUUUUAAAUAAAAUAAAAUAUUUAUAAUAUGUUUAAAUAAAAUGAAAUAUUUAUAAUAUGUUUAAAUAAAUAUAUAAAUAUAUAAUAUAUAUAAUAAAUUUUUGAGGGUGAGGGACUCAAAAAUUCAAAAAAAAAUUUUGAGGUUACCGGCAGCGCCGGAAUAGGUGAUCGGCGCUGGGAGAGGUGGUGGAGGUGAUGUCUGGUGUGGUGGGUUGGGUGAGGGAGGAAAAAAAGUUUUUGAGAAAUUUUUUGUGUAUAGAUUUUUGAAGUGUGUAGGUAAAAAACUUUGAAAAGUUUUUUAAGAUUCCUGUAGCAAAAGUUGUUAAAAAACUAGUAGCUAAAAAACUUGGUAAAAAACUAGGAUGCCAAAUAGGCCCUUAAUUUCCAUGCCUUUUGCUUGACUAGUGGUUAAUUGAUUCAAAUCUCAACCCCUCUAUAUUUUGUUUUCCUGGAGUCCUCAACAACAACAACAACAACAACUGCUACUACUACUACUAGUUUUAUUCACAAUCACUAAUGUUUAAGGCACACUUGUUGCCUGCACAACUAACAAAAAAAUUAUAUAAAAUUUUUUAAAUAUUUGUUAAAGUCAUUCUUAUGAGGCAAUUUUAUAUUUUUUGUAAUACCUACGGUGAAAAAUUCACGAAAAUAAACUAUGCGAAAUGUAAAUAGAUAGUUGUUUGAUAGUGGGUAGUAAUCAAAAAAAGAGAAAGAGGGAGCUAGUGGAUAGUUAGUUAUAAAAAGUACUAAUUUAGAAAUAUCACAAAGUGACAGAUUUUAGUUUACACAAAAAAAAACCUCCUCUUUUUUGUAUAUGGUACAUAGAUAAUUAUUACUGUUUUUAUAAACACUCUAACUUACCAAUAUGUUCAAAUGCCAUAGUUAUAAAACUUGACCUGCCUCAACAGUUAAACUGGUCAACUCGGUGAACGGAUCAUAGGAUCGAUUUGGAUUGUUAAUCAAACCUAUUGACCCGUCAAUGAUCCGACGUUUCAAUUGGUCAAUCGAAAAAAAAAAUCGUCAAUUAAGUUGCCGACUAACCACCAAUACAAAAAUUAUGUUGUAUUUAUAAUUUAAAAUAUAUUAUAAUAUUACAUAAUAUAACUAUUAUGCAACCCAGAGCUCGACCACCUUUCGGAUUGAGCUCUUAACGGGGUUUAAUAACUAUGGUCCUAAGUCAAUCUAUUUGAAAAUGCUAUAGUAAUUGAGCAUUCUUUUUCCUUCUAUUUUUUGAAACUUACAAAAAGAAAAAUGGAAGUAUCAUCGCUCAAUUUAUAUUUGCAAGGUAAAGUCAAGGUCAUGACAGCAGGGAACAUUCAUUCGGACUGGACCAAAAUAUCUGUUUUCAUCUUCUUUUAGCGUCCAUUUAGUAACAACGUGGAGAAGAAUUUGCGUCGGGAAUGUGAAGAACUCGGAAUCAAAGCUAUGCAUGUUUGUGGUCCAUAGCAAAAGAUAUCACAUAAUGGAAUAAACGUUGACACAUGCCCGACCACCUAAGAAAAGCCCAUUCUCUAAAUUUGGCCCAUUUUUUGCAAAUGCGUGACUGUGAUUUUUCCAGCCCAAAAACAAUCGCUCGUCAUGUAUCGAAACUAGAAGAGCCUUCUUCAACUUUGCGGCAUUCAUGAUCCAACUACGGUGACUUGUACCUUGAUGAAUGAACUGCGUUGCGUUAUUUAUUUAUUUAUUUAUCAUUCAUGUCAAACUUUUCUGUUUACUUUCUCAUUUUAUUCAAGAAAUUACUUCCUUCGAUAAGUACAAGCACUAGAUUAAUGAACAUAUACGAGUGAUUUUCUAAUUCGAUUUGAGUUAGUAGUAUUAUCCAAAAGGACAACAAAAUCAAUUUGAAAGCUGUAAAUAAUUAGAUGGGGGCCAAAUUAUCAACUGUCUUAACUUCAUGUAUUGCUAUUACCCAAAAAAAAAAAAAAACUAUGUUUUCGGAGUCGGAGACUCAACCGAGUUUAGGAUUAAGGGUCAAUAGGUUUGAUCGAAUUUGAUCUGAAGUUGAAUCGAAUAACAUCAUAUAUAUGUCACACACACACACACACACACACACAUAUAUAUAUAUAUAUAUAUAUAUAUAUACCCAUUAUUUUUCUUGUAAAAAUAGCCAAGAUCCCAAAAUUCACCAAUCAACAAGACUAAUCAGCAAUCACUUGACGCCAACGAGUAGCAAAAAGGCCUAACCAAAAUGUUUAAAAGCAUUAGGCUUAAUUAUUGAUCCCAGAAAACAAAUUUUGCAUUAGUUGAUUGUCCUAAUAAAUCUUGACUUAACCCAAAAAAAAGGUAUAAAAAACAAGUAAAUUGGUAUGUUUUGUCAUAUAACCUAUGAGAUUAGAAAUAGGGAUAAUUUCAGAUACCUCCCCUGAGGUUUCUAACAGUUUCACUCCCCUCCCCUGUGGUUUCUGAAAUUCCACAAACCUCCCCUAAAACUAGAGGUGUCAAAAUGGGUGACUUGGGCGGGUUUGGGUUGGGUAAAAUGGGUAAUGGGUAUAAGUGAGUCAACUCAUUUAUACCCAUUUAAUUAGAUGGGUAUAAAUGGGUAAGUCAAAAAAUGAAUUGGGUAACUCAAUUACCCAUUUAUAACUCAUUUAUUUUAACUUUUUGUAAACUCAUUUAAAUUCAUUUUUGCAAACUAAGUUAUCAAUUUAUACCACUCUUUGUACCCAUCAUUAGUUUUAAAUAUUUACUUAUAAUAUUCAAUAAACUUAAUUACCAAUUUUUUUCAUUUAUACUCUAUGUCACAAAAUUACCUAUUAUUUAAUAAUUGAAUAAUACGAAUAUAAAAAUUUGAAUUAAGUACUAUAAAAAUUAAUAUAAAAACUUAAUCCAAAAAUUUUGAACCCCUAACAUUUUUUUCAUAUAUAAAUAUAAAUUUUCAUUUUAUAAAGAUAAGAAAAUAGGCUAAAAUUUAUCAUAAAUUGGUAAUGCUAAAAAAUGAGCAAGUUAACAAACUAAGAAAAAAUAAAAUAAUAAGAUAAAAUCAAUAAAAAAAAAAAAAUAAUAAUAAUAAUGUUAACAUCAUGACAAAAUGAAAAAUUUGAAGAAAAAAAAGGUAGGGGAAAAAAAGAGACUUGGGGGGAAGAGAAUUUUAAAUGGGUUAAUUGGGUUUGAUGGGUUACCCAAUAAUACCCAUUUAUUAAAUGGGUAUUAUUGGGUAACUCAUUUAUACCCAUAUGCAAAAAUUUAAGAUACCCAUACCCAUCUAUUCAUGGACGGGUAUGGAUAAAUUUAGUUAAGUGGGUUGAUUUGCCACCUCUACCUAAAACUAAAUAGGCAAUGUCAAAAUAGACCCAAUUUAAAAAUGAAAACAAUAAAAAAUCAGUAGCUGGAGAGAGAAACAAGUGUAUACCACAAAUGCCCUCAUUAUCUUGGGUUAGAAAGCUAAUCUGAUGUGAAGAAAAAGGAGGGAAUUCAAGAAGAAUGAAACUUGAGGGGAUGUAAGUGAGACCAAUGCAUUCAUUGAGGUGUGAACGUCAGUAGUGAACAAAAUGGAAGGCAACGGCUCUUUCUGGCAGUCAGUUCAUCUUCCUUCUUUGUACGUCUCUUCUUAGGCUUGGCACUGGAUGAAUUGUGUUCAACUGAAUCCUUUCCAUUUGUUCCUUCUGAGUCAUAAUUUGAAGAUUUAGUCAUUCCAUCCACCUUAACUUCAACUUCAUCACCAAUAUGCUUAUUAGCUAUCUCAAUGUCUAAAAAUGAAAAUCUCCUGAAAUUGCAUAAAAACCUGUUGAUUGAACCAGAAAGUUGUCUUCUUUGGGAUGCAAACAAUCAAGAGCAGUAACAAGGAGUUCAGAGAGUAUUUCAGCCGAAGACGCCUUAAUAUCCUUCACUUUGCCAAGCAUAACAGAGCAAUUAGUAGAUCUAUGUGGCCCAACUUUCCACGAUUUCUUAUCACCAUUUGAUUGUCCUACUCCUCCACCCCAUAAGGAAGAAGCGCAGCAGCCACAAUCAUUCCUUCUUCAUUCAAAAUAUUAUAUGUUGAUGCAGCAUUUCUCUGCAAUAUGAGGAAAAUAAGAAACUAGAAAAACUUAUGCCAGGCCAACACAAGUGCAGAAGAGAAGCAAAAAUCGACAAAAAAUGCUUCACCAAAAUUUGCUGUCUAAGAAUAAACUACUGCCGGUUCAAGUAGAUUGAGAUACACAAAAGGCUAAGUCAUCAAGGUAUGAGCCAAAUCUCUAUGUCCACAGACAGCACUGCUAUGCAUGUUACAGAUAUUAAGACAUCAAGAAAGCACAAAACUCAUACUGGAAGGCACUGUAGAAUGCAAGCAAAACAUCCAGAUAGAAUCUUGUUAAAAGAUGUAGAUAUAAACACAUGAAAUCUAGAAGGGUGCUGGUUGUAUGAAUGAACGUUUGAAGAAAUUCAUGAGUUAUAAUGAGUUUGCAUUAAGCCUGAUUGUAUAAUCUUUAUCAAUCAUUGAUUAAAUCCAUCUGCAUUUACUAUGAAACCAGAACAAGUUUACAAACAGUAAUUUACCAUCUGUAAGAAAAUCAAAGCAGUACACUUACCGAAUCAAUUGCUUCAAGAUUCAUGCCCAUAGACCGAAUAAAUUGCCGAAGGUCAGGACUUACUGGCUGGAUAUGCCUCCCACAACCAAGAAUUAAUAUUCCUGAUAUCAUCAGCAGAUAUAGAAAUUAACAACUGAAUGAACAAAGCUUAUGGCAAAAAAGUGAUUCACUGAAACUAAUUUACUACUACUACUUCAAUAGGACCACAUCUGUCGACAGGUUCACCAAAUCUGUCAAAAGCUGCGCACAAGACACUAGUGUGUAAAUCUUGUUUCCAGUUCAGAACUAGUACAAGAGCUGAUCAAAGAUUAAAAAAAAAAAAGCUGCUCAACCCCAACAUUAAAAUAAAUUUGUGGUUUGUAACAAUGAAUGCACGCUUUGUUCAAUGUCAAUAGAAGGAAAGGGCUAUAGGCCCAAUGAAAGAUUUCAGGAAAACCAAAACUAAGCCAAAAAAAAAUGUCUGAGCCAAAAAAAAAUGUCUGAGAGGCAUUCCUUUGGCGAAAUUCUUCAAGAAAGGCCCUGAGAGACUGAACAAACUCUGGAAAAUCUAUCUCCUCAAGCGCCUUGAAAACAUCCUCGGCAUUUAUUAUCUGCCUAUUCGACUCCUUGCAUAUAUCAUUUGCAACUGCGGUGAGGUAGUGGAUGAAGAUGCGACCACUUUUAGAGAAGGCCUGCAGGGCUUCGCGGAAAACGGAGAUUCAGACUCGGCAGAGAGCUGAGAGAGCUUAUCUUUCACCAGCCGCAGGACAAUUGUCUUCGGCAGCUCCUCUAAUUCCCUAGCCGUCGAUUCCGUCACCGUCGUCACUUCACCAUUCUCCUUCGCUUUCUCUUUCUCUUUCUCUUUUUCCACCAUUCCUACAUAAACGUAUCACACACGUGCUCUCUGUUACUCUAAUUUAUUGUUAAUUACAUUAAUUGUGUUUAUAACUAACUUAACUAAAUUUUUUGAGAUAAUCACGAAAUAUUAGCAAACUUGUGAGGGUAUUUAAGUCUUUUUGACACCAAUGAUGUAAGAAAUGGGACCUACUAAUCUGACAAGGGAGGUUUGUGGAAUUUCAGAAACCACAGGGGAGGGGAGUGAAACUGUCAGAAACCUCAGGGGAGGUAUCUGAAAUUAUCCCUUAGAAAUAAAAGGUAUUCAAAAGGUGCAUCAUCUUCACAUGCAAGUCAGACGGUUUCGGAUGCCACCAAAUCACCUAAUCAUAACUUUGUACUCAAAUUAACAAGUUGCAUGUCCUUUUUAAUCAAGAAUAUAUAUAUAUAUAUAUAAAGCAAAAUCAGGACUGUUUAUGAUUUUCCCAACAAAUUACAGCAAUGGAGAAGUGGCAGCAAAGACGAUGAAAUUGGGGUGGCGGUGGACGAACCUGUUGGUAGCGGCACUGGUUGUUUGGUGGAGGAGCUAGGGUGGGUUACGAACGACAGCAGAUAUUCGCGUUUGGGAAACUUCUGGUUGGAGUAGAUACUUUUUUGUUUGGAUUGUAUUUUUUUAAAAUUUUUUAUAAUAAAAUUAUUAUAACGAUUUGAUAUAUGUAAAGUAAAAAAGUGGUUGAAGAUUUUGAGUGUAGCAAUUUUUUUAAAAAAUUUUCAAUCCAAUCAAAGCCGCGCUACAUAUAAAAAGUAGUUGUUUCGCAUGUGUUCUUUUUGCUUGAUCAAUGAAGAAAAUAUAGGAAAUAAUAAAAGAUUAAACUCUUAUGUCUCAGACAUUUUAUUUUGGAUGAGAAAUGAAAUUCUCAUCAAUGCUAUUCAACACUAGAUGUACAGCUUUUCCAGCGCACAUGUAAAUUUAGUUUACAAUGAAUGAAAUUAUCCUUUUGACAAAAAUAAAUAAAUAAAUACAUAAAUCAAAGCCGCUCUACUUUUUUUUGUCAAAUCAUAAAUCUAAUCCCAGAACGGUUCUCAAAAGUCGGCAACUCUUGAGUGUGUCCCAAGGACUUAUAACCUAACCCAAACCCAACCCCAACCCCGAUGUGGGAUAAUCAACCUCCACAAAGGAGCCUGCCCUUCGGCGCGAAUCUUUUCGCCCGUAACUAUUCGGACCCUCACUCCCCGUGAUAAGCUGACUGUCUUCUCUCAACAUUAUUGUUGUUUUUUUGUCAAAUCAUAAAUCUAAUUCCAGAACAGUCCUCAAAAGCCGGCAACUCUUGAGGGUGUUCCAAGGACUUAAUCAAAGCCGCUCUACUUGUUUGAGUUGUUUCCUUGUUUCGUUGGUCAAGGUCCGGUCUGAUUAAAAAGUCAACUGGUGGACCCGGGAACUUUUGACCGCCUACUUAGUUAGACCCAGACCCCUUUCGAAAGGGAACGUCUUUUCAACAUUAAUACGUCCAAAAUACAUAGCAUAGCACUACAUAGACUCCGCACCAGCCACAAAAAUCUGAUCCCCCUAUAUAUUGAAGUUGAUAUUUGACCCAAAAAAAAAAAAAAAAAAAAACACCAUGGUUCCCCUUUCCGCUGUUCCACUUGAAUUCGCACGCUAACAUCCCACCAUCACAUGCGUGCAACAAAGACGAAGAAUUAUCAGUCCUCAAGUCAACAUACCUAAUAGGACCAUCCAAAUCGGAGACAUGAGUGAGUGCAACACUUGUUCCCAUGAUGACGCUGCUCUCAAACACUCACUGCAACAUUGCACCGAGUUAUCGACAGAACUCAGUUGGGAAAACAUCGCGACUUCACGUUUUCGAGGAUUCAGAGGAAAGCCUCAAAACCUUAAACUCAGAUUCUACUAUUUCGGAUUAAAAACUCUCUGUCAACUCCCCUCAUAGACUGAACAAUAGCAUAUACUAUCAUAUGUUAUACUCAUAAUAUAUUUGUUGACAUUUAAAUAACAAUAAAUCCUUCCAGUAACAAAUUAAACGCACAAAAUCUAUCCAUCCAUAGGGUUCAUUAGUUUAUUAUUGCAGUGAGACUGGUGCAAGAAAAUGCGGCUAAUUCCCAGCUUACUCCAGCUUCCUCCAGGAUCCUACCAAUUUGGCCAAUGCCACAGUGGAUGAGCCCCCAUCAGCCACUGCUUGCUUUGCUUCCUCCUUCUUUGCCUGGGCUCUUUCCCUGAUCACCUUUCCUUCCUCCGAAUCCAUCAACCCCCUAACUCGCUUCUCUAUUUCAGCCGCUUUCACGAACCCACCUUCCGUACUUUCAUCCAUUGGUAAGGCCAACUUCAUCUCCUCAACUAAGAACAGCCUAUUCAGCUUCUGCUCAGCAUAAAGUGGCCACCCCACCAUAGGCACACCCGCACAGACUGCUUCCAACACUGAGUUCCACCCGCAGUGGGUCACAAACCCACCCACCGACCCAUGAUUCAACACAUCCACCUGCGGUGCCCAAGAACUCGCCACGAAACCCCUACCCUUUGUCCGGUCCAAAAACCCGUGGGGCAGCAACAAAUCCAGAUCUGGGGCGGGUGGAGUUUGAAAGCGGUUGGUUUUGUCCUCAGAAGGCGGACUGCGCACCACCCACAGGAACUUUUGCUCGCUCCUCUCCAACCCGAUGGCUAUCUCUUUCAGUUGCUCAGCUGGAAAUUGACCCACGCUCCCAAAGCACAAGAAUACAACGCUUCCACUUGGUUGCAUAUCCAGCCAUUUCAAACAUUCAUGCACACCUCCUCCCGUUCCACCUGCUGCACCUCCACCUUUCCCGUUGUCUGAUGCAAUCAGAGGUCCUAAGCUGAAAACAGGCGGAGUGGGGCCAUCCGGAACAUACUUUCCAUCAGCGAUUGAUUUCAAGAUGCUAGGUUCGAGCGAUUCGAACGUGUUGACUAGGAUCCCGGACGAUUUUGCCAAUUGCGUCGCAACAUCUAAGAAAAAUGCAUACUCAGGAGACGUUCUUUCCAGCAAAGGAACUGGCAUGUCUCGUGGUGGUAUUGGAAGUAAAUCAGGAAGAUGUAGAAGUUCGUCCAGGUCUUUAUAGCUUUUGUUUGUUGAUUGGUGGAGCGUGGGUAAGUAAAGGAAGAGAGCGAGACCAUUAGCGCCAGAAGUGAAGAAGUAAUAAGUCGGGAUUCCAAGGUUGGUAGCAACAGAGAGGGCACAAGUGCAAAAGAAGUCGAUGAUAAAUGCAGAAAUUCCAGCUGUCAAGGAGAUGGAGUGCAGAGCUUGGCGAACAUGAGGGUUGCUGAGUCGAAGGAGCUCGAAGUGGAGAGCUUCUAUGGAGGGGUAAGAGUCAGGGUCAAGAGGCGGAGAGGGCAGGUGGUGGAAAGAGAUGGAAGGGGUGGUGGCAUAAAUGCGAUUCAUGUAAGCAGCAGUGGAGGCUGCAGUGUUGUAUGGCGGGUUCACUACGAGAACAGUAAUAGCCAAUCCAGGGUGGUGGUUGAGAGUGAACUUACCCAGCUCCACCAUGGAAACCAGGUGACCCAUGCCUGGAGAUGGAUACAGAACUAUAGUACGAUUACUCCCCAUCUCUCUCUCUCUCUCUCUCUGUUCUUACACCCAAUUUCCACAAAAACUACGCAACUCUUUGAGCCAAUUGAGAGCCUCAAAUUUCCAAGUUCCAAAUAAACAGAGAGUAACUCCCUUCUACUUAACCAUUGGGCCAUUUGGCUCAGUGUCCACGAGGGAGGGACUUAAGUUCCUCCUUGGGCUGUUGGCGAGGGUAGCGAAAAAAAUCUAAGGGUUGUGUUAUAGUACUUCUUUGAUCUAGUUGGGUCUGUAUACCCAUUAGCCCCUUUCAUAAUCUCCUUGGGCUCCCCUCUCCCUAAAUUAGGAUAGAAUAGGUUAUACAAAUAUAUCGUUGCUAAAAAAAAAAAAAAAAAAAAAAAACUCCCUUCGACUUUCCAUAGCCAAUAAAUGCAAUCAACUGACCGUUCUUUGUCAAGUCCCCGUAGGCAACAUCAACUUGGCUUUGAGCGAAAGUCGAGUCACCGUUUCUGUCAUAUACCGUCGAUCUUUCGUUUUUUGCCCUUUUCCCUUGGCCCCUCUUGCCGUGCGAAUGCUACUGGUUUAUAAAAGCUUACAGAAGCACAUACGUCAUUGUUAUUUUCUCUUGUAACCUUAAACUGCCUUCAGUAGUCCGUAAGAUACAAUAAUAAUAUCUAACAAAAAAUCCGCCUGCAAAGAAAUUUGCCUCAGAACUCCUCAAAUCUCGUCUCAAUGGAAUCUCAGAAAGGUUUCUAUUUGAUUUAACUAAAAGUAUGUCCAGCAAACACACUUUUCUUAAAUAGUCUGUUGAUGAAGGGUAAAUUUCUUGGAAUAUUUUGAUUAAAGAAAAACAAAAGGUAGGUUAGAAAAAUAUGAUCCUGUAGAGGUGCUUUUCUUGUUAUAUGCCCGUUGAAUCCCCGACUGGCAAUUUUUUUUUUAUUUUUUUAAUCUAAAAUACUGAAUAUGCUGGCCCGUUAUCUACUUUGUAGCAGGGACCAAUUUAUAAAUAAGGUUUUUUUUUUUUGUUUUUGGCCUUUUGAGCGAACUAAUAAUAAUAUGAUCAGAAUACAUGAUAGCGCUGGAAACAACUUUUUAUUUCAUUCCCAAGCUAAGAAAAAUCUUUUCCGGUGCUGCUGUCGAGUUCUUUUGAAAAUCACAUAACAAGUCAUGCAGAUUUUAAGUUAUUGCACAAUUAGGUUUAAUCAUAUAUUAGUAAAUACAAAUUCGAUUUACAUUUAGAUAAAGGAAAAUAGUUGUGACACAAUUCUAAUACUAUACUUUCUUACGAGCAAGAAAGUUUGUAAUGAUUUUCAAUUUUUUUCCUACCUGGAGAAAACAAAGGUCUAAACUUGAAAUAUAAUUAACAGAAAGCUAUAAAAAUUAGAGAUUAUAUAGAGAUAGAGUAAUUAGGAUUCAACGCUUGCAUACAAUAUGGUAAUUAUCUUACAAUAGGAAAUAUUUUUAAAAUCAUGAGAAGGUGCAAGGGACUUGAAUCCAAGACCUCUAAUUCUUGAUACUUCAACUUGAGUCACUAGAUCAAGGAUUUGAUAACAGAGAAGUAACAGAUUCAACACUAAGGAAUUUUUCAUCUCGACUUGGAAUAACAAGCUAAAUUAAUAAGUUUGAUGAAAUGAUAAGAUAAUAUUUUUUUUUUAAAAAAAAAAAAACUUCAACUAACCUUUUGGUCCUAUUCAUAACAUAAAUUAAUAAUUCACCAAAAUUACAUUUCAUAUUUUUUUAUAAAAAAAUGAGUCUAUUAUUUUUCUUAAAUUUUAAGUUUACCUAAAUCUUAUCCUCAGUUUUGUAUUAAUUAAACUUUUAACCUUCUUUUAUUAAUAAAUUAAUUCAUUUUUAUCAAAUAAAGCUUUAGGUGAUAAAAUGAGUGUUUCUUUGGAUUGUAAGUACACUCAACAAAUUAAUAAAUUAUUAAUUUAUUGAUUAAUUAAUACAUUUUAAAUUAAUAGAAUUUGUAAGAUCCCAAAAUUAUUAAUUUAUUUUACUAUAGUAGUUAAAAGACACUAUCCGACUCGUUAUGCACUCUUAGGUGCAACAAAAUGGGCUAUGUGUCUCCUGUUUUUGGUUUGCUUUAAUUAACUUUAAAUUGCAUACGGAGAAUGAAGGGUGAAAAGGUUGUUGAAGGGUUUUAAAUGUUUUUGCCACUAUAAGAGAGAGUUUGGGAGAAACAAGCGAGUAUAACGAUCAGUUUGACUGAGCAGUUUACUCAAGAAAAGGAGGCUGGACCCGGCAACCACUUUUAGAAAAGAGAAAAUUUCCUUAUUUAUAAAUUGGUCCAGAGAACUUAAGAUAAAUAACCAGCCCGUCAUGUCCAUUGGAUACGGUGAUCACUUAAAAAAAUAUAUUCUUUAUUUAUAAAUUGGUCCAAGGACCGUAAAAUAAAUAAGAGCAAAUUAUUUGGAUAGUUACCAAACUUUUUGAAUAGACGAUUUUUGACCACUUAACUAUUAAUAGCAUAUUUUUAUCCACUACACUAUCAAAAUUAUAAAUUUUGGACUAUUCCGUCUGACUCCACUAUUAAUUUUAACAAAUCUAACUAUUAAUAGUAUAUCUAAUAAAUUGUGCAGAUCUUUAGAUCGGGCAGAGUUAGUGGUUGGAUCAAAUGAAAUAGCACAAAAUUUACACACUUAAUAGUUCAGUAGAUAAAAAUGUAUUAUUAAAUGUUAAGUGAUCAAAUCCUAACCACUUAAAAAAAUCAAGUUGUUACCCUAGUAAUUUGCCCAAUAAAUAACCAACCGUCCUGUACAUUGGACGGAGCAAGCUGUUUUAGAUUAAAAGUAUAGAAAUGUUGCCCACCUUGUUCAUUGGACAUGGCGGCCAUAUAACUUUUUAUCAAUUACUUGAAUAGAUUCGAUCUAACAAGAAAAACACCUUUACAAGACAUUCUUUUUUUGGCCUUUUUUUUUAAUCAAUAUUUCAAGAAAUUUGCUGUUAAAUCAUGUCUGCCUUGGAAGUAACCUCAUUAUGGUUGGGGAUAAAGGUUGAGAGGGCACUUUUUAUUAUUUUGAUUUUCAAAUGCAACCUUAUUUUCUAAAAGCCCUUAAGUAAAAAAAAAUCACCAAAAUAUUCAAAUUAUAUGCAUGGGCAUAUCUAUAUAAAUUAGCACUAAAAAUUCAAACCCAAAGUUUCCCUAACAAAGAAAACAGGAAAAAUACCAUAGAUAGAUUCCAAAGCCUACAAAAUGUUCAUAAUUAGUGCACGUAGAGCUCCUAAUAACCAAAAGCAAAACCCCAGACUAUUCAGCAGAAAACCACGGCAACUAUUACAGGGAAUAUUUCUAAAAUUUUUAAAACAUCACUUAUUUCUCUUACUUUUAUUAUUUGUGAAACAAAAUUUUAAAAACCCUGAACUAUAAUUUUACUCAUUUUGAUAAACAAAACACUCCUAAAUCACUUUGUGUUGCUCCAAGGAAAACCACCAUCUGAAAACAAAUCUCUAGUAGGACCACCACAUCACAAAUUUAUAGUCCAUAAAAAUAUAAAUUUGAAAAACAAAAAUGAUAUUUGUAAAGAAAUGUGCUAGUAUCAAUUCAACUAUGUACAUUCAAAAUCAUUUUUUUAUGAACAUUAUUUUUUUUCUUAACCUCUUCUCAAUCUAUGGUUCAAACUUUUAAGUUGUAUUAAAUCAUUUUUUUUAAAAUAACUCAAAUUAAACAAAGAAAUUAUACUCAACUCUAUCACAAUCAUAAAAUGAAAAAAAUAAACAAAAUUCAAUUUACUAUAAUUUAAAAAUUCAAAAUUCCAUAAUUAUCUAGAAAAAAUGAAUAAGAGAGGAUAUUAGAAAAAAGGGAAAAGAUAAGAAAGUGACAUGUAUUUUUUCUUUUAAUUUUUCAAGUUCCAUUUAUUUGAUAUGUGAAUUAUGUAUCAAAUGAGAAUUAAUGCAAUCAUUUUGCAAUUAUUAGGGGAAAUAAGUGAUAUUUUUAAAACUUCAAGGGUACUAAAUAAUAUUAAGAGAAACCUCUGGGGAGGUUUCUGAUAAUAUCCCUUUCAAUUAUCGUACAACAUGCCGACACCUCUUUCUAAUUUCCCCCAACUCAAAAAAUUGAUAGAGAUUUCUAAAGACAAGGACUCGCUUUUCUUUUCUCUAAGUCCAAGUUGACUUGGAUAUUAAUUAAUGGGCUUUCUCUUUCCAAAGGCCACCAAAUGAGAUGGACCCGAGGAACCACUGGGCCAGUGACUCAGUGGCUACAGGGAGGGGCUUAAGCCCCUUUUUGGGCUGUAGAUGAGAGUUCAAAUGUCACCUGCAGCGAAAAAAAUCUAAGAAUUGUGCCAAAGCACUCUCUUGAUCUAGUUGGAUCUGUAUACUCAUUAGCCCCUACCACAGUCUCCUUAGGCUUCCCUUCCCCCUUAGAUUAGGAUAGAAUAAGUUAUACAAAUGCACCGUUGCUGACAAAAAAAACAAAAAGAGAUAGACCCAAGGCAAACAAGCCGAGAUCCAUAGGAUCAGAGUAAUCCUUGUACCAAAAGUAAGCUAUGAUACGAAAGGGAAUCAAUAAAUAAAAAAAAGCAUUAAGGGUUUUUUAGUUGAAACAAACAAUAUAAUUCCUCUUUUUUUUUAAUUAACGUCUUGUAAAAGAUAUGCAUUACAUGAUUGACUACCAGCAAACACCUUAGCAGUAUAUGACUCAACUGUUCCUGUUUACAUAUGCUAUCAAUAUGAAGCAACAUCUACCAACAAAAUGGCUUCUAUCAUUUCAGAGUUAACACCAAUGAAUGAGAGUGCAACUGGAUAUGAAGCAACGGAAAGAUCCCCUGUAGCAUCAUGAAUCUUUCAGCAAAGCUAAAGUUUAGUCAUAUAUCAGCAUUUUACAUCUUUAAGUUAAUUAAGUAGAAGAUAUUCAUUUUCCUAGAACACAACUGAUACAAGACAGACGAAAUAAAGUCAGCCCAAAAUACCUUCGCGUACAUCAGAGGCUUGUCUAGCAAUACAUUGAUAUCAUCCAAGGCCCCUAACAUACUGAUCAAGAGUUGAAUUAAAUAGAUCACUUCUGCCCAAGAAAAAUGAAGAAGAAAAUUAGUUUAGCAACCAUUUUUUUUUUGCCAGAAAACAGAAACCGAAAAUUAUAUAUUUGCCUCCAAGUGUAAUGAACAGAGAUCAUUGUUCUGACCUAUGAACACAUCCAUCACGUGCAGGAAACAUGCAUAAGACGCAUCAUCAGAAUACAUGCAUGAAGCCAUCAUGCAGCCUUAUUACAUGUCACUACAUCUCACAAAAAAUAGGAAAAGAAAAGGUGCAAAAGGUUUUUUUCAGAAAGAAAAGGAAAAAAUCUAUUCGAUGAGAUUUUAAAAUAAAUAUCUUCCCAAGGAAAUAGGUGGAAAGGUUUCACAAGAAAGUAGAAGAGAUGUCAACAACGGCCAAAUAUCAGGCAGCUUAUGGAAGCAGUUAAUUCCUUUAAAUACUCACUAAACUAGGUACUAGAGAGACUUUCCUUCAGCAGUCCAUCAUUCUCUGGCUUUUAACUACAUUAAAACCUUUGUAUGUGUCUUUCCAAAAACUAUAAAAGACCCUAUUUGAUUCAAACAAACAACAAAAGUGAAGUUUGAAGAAAGAGCAGCAGAUUUAUGAGACAUCGCGUUUAACAUCCACUGUUUAAGUUCAAAUCACAACUUAGAUGUGCAGGUCGAACCCCAUAUAAGUAAUGGGACAAAAAUUUCCACGCAUGAAACACAUAGACCUAUUUAAGAUCUAAAAAGUUAACAAAACAAAAUUUAAACUAGUUUUGCAUCACCAGAUGCACACAGACCUACACAUUUGCAGCCAAAGAAUUAAACAAAAACCGGUAUAAGUCAGGAAAGAAUUGACAAUGCACAUAUAUCAGCCAAUUAAUCAUUCUGUGUUAAGUACUGAAUGACACCCUGCGACUUACCUAAUUGGAUUUCCGGGUGAGUACAGUGGAUUCUUGACAACAUACUCGACAUACAAGUUGUAUAUGUACUUGAGGGAUUCCCUUAAAUCACCUGUCCUAGGAUGAGUUACCAGGAUGAUCUGUAAAACCAAUGAAUACAUGGGGAAUAAGAGAUUUUUAAUGUUAACAAGAGAGAGUUUUUCAACUUGACAUGGAAAAAAGUUAUGCUAACUGCCAGCAAGUGAUAGUCAGACAACAGAUAAAGGUCUUGAUACUCUUGCUACAUAGCCAUCUAUAUGAAUGCAAGCAUAUAUACUCAUGCAAUCAUCUGGACAGACCUUAAUCCCAGAUGGACUCUCCAUGAAACUAAGUUUGUAAGUAUUAGUGCGGAAGCUGUGGAACGAACAUCCCUGUCCAGGUAAUUGUGGCACUCCAAGAUUUCCUUUAUCAGCGCUGCCAAAGAGAUCAAACAAUAAUGUAAGAAAGUCACUCUUAUUAGCAUGUCUUCAAAGAUAUGAUUGAGAAACAUUUUUAGACCAGGACAAUAAUGAGAUGCAAAACUAGUCUUCAGGAUUACUUUCAAUUUGACCAAAAAAUGGCCAAUCCUUUCUGGUAAAAAUUCUCACAUCACACCAUCAAGCAGCUACUGUGGGUGGUCAUUUAAGGUGCACAUAUAUUGACUCAUGAACUUCUUUAUAUACAUCAACAAAUGUACAUAUGUUUUACCACCAGUAUACUCUUCAAUCACCCUUCUUUUUUCAAAAGACUAACACGAUUACAAAAGAAUACCCAAACUUUAGAAAUGCCUAUCAAAGUACUUGUGAUCAUGAGGCAGAUUAUUAUCUUUCUCCUUAGGCAUGAACCUCGUAUUAAACUGCCUUGACAAUGGCCUGACAGUCUGGUUGGAGAAAUGGGUCAUCUUUUUGGGAAUUAAAAAGCUAGAAAAGAAAAAUUGUAAUGCUAAUGCACGUUAUGGAGGCCAAAUUGAUUAUCAGACAACUUGGGGGGGGGGGGGAAUUGGAAUUAACCAUUACGCAAGUUGAAUCAAACGUCAAGUGGAAUAACAAAAGAAAAAGGUCGUGUAAUUAUUAGAAACGAAAAAUUAAUUCCAAAAUUAUUUGAUCGAAAGAAGGAGAAAACGGACCUAGUUGGAUCCAUUUUGGCAGUCAAGGAUUUAAGAGAGAAGAGGAGACCGAACAUGAGCUUGUGAUCCUGCUGGGGGCUGAGAGUCUUAAGUGGCCGAUUCCAUUCCCUGUACAGCAGACAUACUCCAUUCCUGUUGAACACGUAUAGCAUGUGGGCGUUAUUCCCCGCUGCCGUCGGGACCGGCGGCGAUGGACUGAUCUCGGAUCCUCCGAAAAAUUGCAUGCUUUGGGAGAUGCUUUUUUUUUUUUUUGCUUUUAUCCUCGGGAGAUACUUGUGGAGAUGAGCAACAGGGGAAUGGGAGGAACAAGGAUGAGCAGCGACAGCUAGGGGCCGGGGAAGGGUAGUGGACAAUGGCUUGGCUUGGCUUGGCUUGGCUUGCUGGCUGGCUGGCUAGACUGGAGAGGCGGCGGUAGGGCUACUAGGCUACUAGCAGUAACAAAGGGAGUGUUUGGAUACACAUAUUAUUUCAAAUAAUAUUUCGCUUGCAUCAUAAACACAUUUCCUAAUCCACCUUUUUAUAUUUCCAAUCAACUUUUUAUCUCACAUACAUCACAUCACAAAAAGUGCUACAGUAAUUAUUCCAAAUAAUAUUUCAAAUAAUACUCUAUCCAAAGUUUUACUACUGCUAAACUUUUUUAUGUUUUGUUUUCCAAAUUUGGGAUUAAAUUUUGGAAUCAUGGUUCCUGAAAACCUACCGAUCCUCAUUCCCCUCUUUUCUAUUUUUCUUUUGGCGGAGAGAAUGAAAACCUCCCAAUCCAUGCGGGUACAGGCUACAGAGUUUUGAUGAAUCUUUAAUAAAUUUCUUUCCAAAAAGGGAAAAUGACCAAUUUCGUCCUUAUACUUUUUUAUCGUGUCAAUUCAGUCUAUAUAUAAUUUUUUUGGCCAAUUUGAUACCUAUACUUAUUUUGCGGUACCAAUUAAGGAACGCUGCGGCGGCGCCACCACGUAAAUUCGAUUAACCUACUAAUUGAACAACUAAGCAGGGGUAUUUCGGACACUUCACUGCUUCUUCAUUUGUCACCUUUUCUUCUUCAUCUUGCUUAUCACCAUCCACAGAAGCCAUAGCCGGAGUAGCAGAUCCGUCUCACUCCAACUCAAGGACAGAUGUUGGUGACGUACGCAAGACUAGGCUUUCAGCAGAGUCCUCAAAUACACAAGAAGGAAUGUCAUUUUGAUUAUGUGGCUGGGAAACCGCCAUUGAGCUAGACUGAUUAUUAUAUUCUUCUCAGACGCAAUUUGAUCAACCAUGGCCCUAGCUUCAAAUUCAAGUCAUUUCGCUUCAUAGGCUCUUGAAGCUCCCUUUAUAAAAUAAUUACCCAACCAGAUCCUCUUUCCCUUAAACGGGUUGCGAAUUUCUACAACCCAUUUUCCCCAUUUCCUCUGCCUGAGACCUUUGUAUUUGGAAGAGGAAGGCCUUGAUUGAGGUUAACUCUACAAUUUAGUUAAACCAGUCUUCUUUUUAGGGUUGUUUUUCUCUGCAUUAUUGCUCUCUUGACAGGAAUUUUUAGCUUUCUGUGCAACAGCCAUAGCCACAGGCUAACCAGGUUGCCUUUUUAACUUCACAAUAGGGAGAAUAACCUCCCUAAGAAAUCUCUUAGGCUUCUUUUCAAUCACCGUUUCAUCAUCUGAUGAAUCAGUAUCAGUAGCAUUCGAAUCGUAACAAAAGACCCUAAUCUUCCUCACAGGUCAGUACUAGGGAUGGCAACGGGGUGGGGUUGGGGCGGGGGACCCCUCCCCCGUCCCCCGCCCCGUCCCCCGCCUCCCACUCCCCCCGCCCCGUCCCGCCUUGCCCCGCUUCACCCGCGGGGGCACCCACGGGGUUAAUAAAAUUUUAUUAUAUAAUUUUAUUAUAAUUAAAUUUUAAUAAAUAAUCAAGUACUAAAAUAUCAACACAUCAUCAAAUUAUUAUUCAUUGUAAUUUUACAAUUGAAACCCAUAAAAACAAUCAAACAGAAGUUAUUUGAAUACAAUCCAAUAUGAUGAAAUAAAUAUAACUAAAAUAGUCAAAUUUUCACUUUUAGUACAAAUGCAAUUACUAAUUCAUCAUUGUGUUUGUGCUUUUUUUUUUGAGAAAAAAGUGUUAUUCUAUUAAGUGUAAUUAGAAAUUUAGUAUAAAUGUAUUAGUAAAUUUAGUAUAACUAAUUAAUAAAUUCUAUUAGUAGACAUGUAUAAUUAUUCAUAUAAUUGAUAAUAUCAAUUAUAUUACAUAAACUAAUAUACAUUAUAUAAUACAUCUAACUAAUAAUAUCAUUAUCAUAAGUUUAUAACUAAUUAACUUACAUAUAAUAUAUAGUCAUAUAUAUAUAUAUAUAUAUAUAUUUUGCGGGUGGCGGGGCGGGGGAUGGGACGGGGGAGUAUACCCCCGCCCCCCGCCCCGUUUCUAAGCGGGGGGAAAAAAUUCCCCCCCGCCCCGCCCCAACCCCCGCCUCGUGAGCCCCCCGCGGGGCGGGCACCCGUCCCCAUUGCCAUCCCUAGUCAGUACCACUUUCACCAGAAUCUGAAAAAGUUUGACAAAUUCAACAAUCAAAUUAGUCAAAAUCAACUCUUUACUACUGCACAUAUAACUAGCAUCGAAAACCAAUCCAAAAAUCAAUGCUAACAAUAUGGAUUUCGAAUUCGACGCCCAUUUAGCUACCUUCAUCUGGAUUCGACUAAACUGGUUCCUAAUCAUCAGGGGCCUGAGGUGGUGGUGGAUCUUCAGCUUCUUGAACUGGCUGCUGCUGCAGCUGCCGCAGCUGCGGUUCUUGAUCAGCUGCUAUCUUCAUCGCUUGAUCACCUCCAAUCCUACGCGAUUGUUUACGCCGCGGUCGGCUGGAAUGUGGGACAGAAUGCUCCUCACCACCUUGAGGAAUUGAAGUUCGUUUCUGUGCAGCAAUUUUUGGGACUUCUUUUUGUAUUUUCCCUUUUUUCCUCCCUCUUAUGGUUUCCUCUGGCAACUUCCAAACCACCCCUUCUUUAAUGGGUUGCGGAGAUUAUUUGGAAAUAAAUAAAAGGAUUGAAGAAGACGAUGGUUACAGGCUAUGGGGAGAAUAAUUGACUGGGGAGAGUGAUGGAAGAGUUACUGUCUUUUGCUUCUUUUUUUAUCCUUCUUGCUGCCUUUCGAAGUUGGAACUUGGAAGAACGGUUCAACCCAGCAGUGAAGUGUCCGAAAUACCCCUGUUUAGUUGUUCAAUUAGUAAGUUAAUCGAAUUUACGUGGUGGCAUCGCUGCAGCGUUCCUCAAUUGGUACCGCAAAAUAAGUAUAAGUAUCAAAUUGGCCAAAAAAAUUAUAUAAGGACUGAAUUGACACUAUAAAAAAGUAUGGGGACGGAAUUGACCAUUUUCCAUUCCAAAAAUCUCAUACCCACAUGGCCAUACCCUGUAGCCAAAAUCUUUAAUUCCCACGCCUUUCUGCCAAGCACCAUGACCCAACAAAUUGGCUUGACUAGUGUUAGCUGAUUCAACAACAACAUUACAACAACAACAACUACGACUAGUUGUAUUCACAAUUACUGGUGUUCGAGGCACACUUCUCGUGUGCACAACUAACAAAAAAUUUAUAUAAAUAUUUGUUAAAAUCAUUCUUAUGAGGCAAUUUUAUAUAUUUUUAAUACGUAUGGUGAAAAAUUCACCAAAAUAAACUAUGCAAAAUGUAAAUAGAUAAUUGUUUGGCAGUGGGUGUAAUCAAAAGAGAGACAGAGGGAGCUAGUGAACAAUUAGUUAUAAAAAGUAAUUUAGAAAUAUCACAAAGUGAUAGAUUUUAGUUUAAUCUCCCCCUUUUUAUAUAUGGUCCAUAGAUAAUUAUUACUAUUUUUAUAAACACUCUAACUUAUCAAUAUGUUCAAAUGACAUAGUUAUAAAGCCUAACCUGCCUCAACGGUUAAACUGAUCAACUUGGUGAACGGGUUAUAGGAUCGAAUUGGGUUGUUAAUCAAACUUAUUGACUUGUCAAUGAUCCGACGCUUCAAUCGGUGAAUUGGAAAAAAAAAAUCAUCAAUUAAGCUGCCAUCUAACCACCAACAUAAAAAUUAUAUUGUUUUUAUAAUUAAAAAUAUAUAUUAUAAUAUAGCUAUUAUGCAGCUCACGGUUGAAUCGGUGACUCGAUCACCUCUCUGGAUUGAGCUCCGAGUUGGGUUUAAUAACUAUGAUCUAAGUCAAUCUAGUUGAAAAUACUAGUAAUUGAACAUAUUUUUCCUUCUAUUUUUGGAAACUUACAAAAAGAAAAAUGGAAGUAUCGUCUUUCUUAAAAAUCAAUUAGUUUUUUAUUAACAAUAAAAUUGUGUAGCUUAGUCAUUCUAAGAAGGAUUAAAUUUUCCCAUACCAUCAAUGUAGACUUUUUUUGUUUUAACAUAAUCAGAUUUGAAUAUAUGACACGUGUAAAAAAAGAAUUUAAAAUCUAAACUAAAGGUUAAUAUGUAUUGGUACAUAUCAGUGCCCAAAAAAAAAAUUGUACACCCAACACCUCAGGGAAGAAUAAUUCAUACACGAUCGUAGACCGCGUGCAAUUGCGAACACGCGUGUUAUAAUCAUUUUUUUAGAGGAAAAGAGAUUAAUACGAACUUAAAAAUUUUAUGCAGGAAAGAGCUAAAUUGUAGGAAGAUUAAACCCCAGUGAGCAGGGUUCACCCACUAGGGGCCGGUAACCUUUCCCCACUUCCUUUGUGUGCUUUUCUGAGUACCCUACAUUAUGAACUGAGGGUAGUCUUGGCGGACCUUGUCCAUUUAUCAAUUGCAUUUCGUUCCCACCAUCAAUUUAUUGCGAACCUUUUUUUUUAUCUUUCACCGAAAACCCAGAAAUGAAGUAGUAAAAUCCAUUCAAUGGCCAGAAUUCCUGGACAGUUUAGUAACCCUCAGCUAUAACUGCUUCAUGGGCUAAGGAAACUCGCACACAGAAAAAAUUUAAGAAGCAUUAGCAAUCUAAUCGCAACAGUAACGGCCAUAAAAAGAACAAAAUUUUCACAAACACCAUCGCUCAAUUUAUAUUUGCAAGUUAAUAAAGUCAAAGUCAUGACAGCGGGGAACAAAAGACGAGAAAUAAAAACAUUCAUUCAGACUGGACCAAAAUUAGAAGUCCUGAACACCAAAGCAUUUGAACUAGGAAAAGACAGAAAUAUGUCACAAGACACCAAGAAAAUCAAUAUUCCCAUUUUUUCAUCUCCAUGCCAUCUGGAGGGCUUCCUUCAACCUUCUUUGCACCAACUUCUUUCCAGUUCGUUGAUAAAACUGUCCCAUUUGACUCAACCUGUUACACCAGACAAUAUAUUACUCCCAACCCGUCAAAAAGUUACAUGCAAACACACGGGGAACCUGAAUUGAGAGGACCCAUUCAGCAUGGGCAGAAAAUCUUUCCAAGUUUCAAUGAUAAUUGUUGUUCAAAUAGAACAGCUACAAAAGAAAGUUAUAAAAUGGCAACCAGGAAAGGACCAUCAGAAAUUCUUAGGAAAUGGAGAUAAGAGUCUUACAAAAGAUUUCAUCAUGGCUCUUCUAGUGUCCUCAUCAGCAUCUUUGUAUAUGUCUCUGAAAAAUUUGUUAAGAGCUGCAUCACCAUCUAGUUUUUCAUCUUUUUCCUGAAGAUGUAAACAGAGUGAAUCAGCCAAAACACUUCCUAGCAUGUGCUACACGUUUCACCUCAAUGCAAAAGAAAAGACCAAUAGAAAUAGCAGAGAUAACAUGCAUACCUCCUUUUUCAUUUGAGCUUCAAGCUUAUCCCAAUCUUUUGUUGCUCUCGAGGAUGGGUAAGUGGGUCUUUGACUUCCUGCAAAAUGCAAAGGUACGACGGUAAAGCUUAUCAACUGUGACCAAUAUCUUCUCUCUGUAACAUCUUGGGAGAAUAAAUGCAUCUCAAGUUUGAGUAACUGUAAGAAAGCCAUAUAUACCUGAUCACAUGGACAUUGACUUCAUGAAAAAAGAACCAACAUAGACAGCACACAAAAACCAGUUUCUGUUCCACUUUUAAUUUCCAAACAAACUUCUUAACCAGGCCUACUGGUGCAUUUUCAGACAAUCUACCAGUGCACAGCAAUUAUUUCCAGGCUAGCCAAAAACUCGUGCAACUAAACCUACCUGAUGAAACAUUUAUCCUCUGCAAAGCCACAUUAUCCCUGCUAUACUCGAGAGACACCCAGUGUACAGCUUCAGCUUUUGCAAGGCAGAUUUCAAUUUUCGUGGACAGAACUUCAUAUCUGCAAUUUGCAGGAAUUAUCUGUUUAUAUGAAGACAACACCAAAGUCCACAAAAAAUUAGAAAGUUAAUGUAAAAACAUAAUUUUCUGACAUCAUAAAAAAAAGAACACGAUUUACAAAGACCCACUGGCCAUGCAUAAAUUAAUAGCAGGAAUGAAAAGCAGAGUUUCACUGCUUUAAAAGUCUAAUGAUGAUUUAUAGUAAACUCAGGUUUUUAUCAUUAAUAAUUCCUAAUCAGACACAUGUUGCAAAUAUUUUUACCCAUGAUGCAUUCACUAGUUCAUACAAAACUCAGUCUCCUGAUGUUUCAACAUGCCAAUUGACCAAAGGAUAGUUCCAGCUACCAUAUGACAGUUAAGUGUUAUGAGACACGAGAGAGCAGAUAUCUCUCUGCCAGAACUAUAAUAUCAAGUUAACAUUUUACCUUUCCAAACAAUCGUGGUUGAAAAGUAUAUGUAUCUUCACCAGGCACAUCAAUAGUGACACUAAGCUGAAAAGCAACAAAAAGGAAAAAGGAAAGCCAAACCAUCUUAAGAACAUCAAAUGGUGUGAACCAUGUUUAAGAAUCUAUAGAUAUCAACGGAAAGAAUGAACAUACUAUUUGUUCACCAAAGUCCACUGAAACAUUUUUUGCUGGUAUACCCUUUGCAAAUAUAGUUACAACAACUUGCUCUGGUUUUUGAUAAUAUUCAUGCCUGCAACACAUAAUUUUUAAGCAUAAGUAUCCAAUUAAUCAUCAGAAACUUGAAUCUUAAUCAAUUCAAACUGUUAAGGCUCUAGAAAAUGGCAUGCCGACAAAAGGUGGUAUUACGAAUCUAUCAGCACGUAUAAUAAAAAACUUUCCAACAAUUAGCUAAAUGGUCAAUCAACAUCGAAGUAACACUGCUAAUGACAGACUUCUUAAUACUUUAUUGGCUUGCCUCAUAGAGGAACCAUUGGCCAGGUUAUGAGAUCUGACCAACCAUGGCUAUGGUAAACAUUCCAAUGUUGCAACAGGUUGUAUCGAGUCUUAGAGGAUGUCAUAUGGAAGAGAAAAGGGAGAUAUAAGUUGCAAUAACCUGUAUUUUGGCUUGGCAGAUGACAAACUGGUAGUCUGGUUGGAUAUACUGAUGGCUGGCUCAGCAACCUUCGGAAUUGCAGCAGUUGUAUCAACAACUAUUGGGGCCUCUGGUGAUUUGUUUGGCAACACUCCAUUUUCCUCUUAAAUUGAAAAGGAACCAAAAUCAGAAAACAAAUUAAGUUACAUAAAGAUUACCUAGAAUGUAAUAGAAGCUAUUUUGCAUGUAAGCCACAGCUUUAAAAUUUCAGAGAUAAGCACAUAAAGAUAUACAUACAAUUUUUUUUUUUUUUGGAAAAAAAAAAGGCAACAUUUGACAGACAUCAAAAGAAGCUCCAUUCGACUGCAUGAAAGGUGCAACUCACACCCAACUAUCAAAAUCCCAGCCAAACAAAAUCAGUGGUUCUCUUCAGAGCUUGGCAGUUGGCAGCCUUUUCAGCUUCCGAUGGACUCAUAUGAGGUCAUUGAGCUGAUACAACGUAUGCAGAUGUACAUACAUGCACAAAUAGUGGGAGUUUUAAUUCUUUUCUUUCAAGCAUGCUCCUAGACAACCCUUUUUUGUAUUCUAUAAUGACUCAGCUUAUUAACCCUGGCAUUCAACUUCAUAUCAUGGGGAAGUCUCUUUUGAAAAAGAUAUAUACCAUCAUGAUAUUCCAUAAAUUUCAAAUAAAGGUAUGUGGUCAAGGAGGAGAAACCAGUUUCCCCACCGCAAAAUUGAUCUAUGAGCAAGAAGCGUCCAUAAUCUUAAAAACAAGUCAUGGACAAUGACAUUACUAUUAUCCUACUACAAUCAUGUCAAACAGCAAAGCUGUCAAAUUAAGCUACAUAGUUGUGAAGGAGAAACCGGUAUCCCCACAAUGUGAAUUGAUCUACGAGCACAAGGCACCAAUAAUUUAAAAACAAGUCAUGUACAAUGACAUUACCAUUAUGCUAUUAAAAUCUAUGCCAAACGGAAGAGUUGUACCUGCAAUGCGCUGGUCACAUUCUUUAAUCAAAUUAUUGAAUCUUGAGUCACCAGGUGCUAAAGAAGCACCCACUUCCAAAGCUGUCUUGGCAGUCUGGUAUUCCUCAAGCUUGAUGCAGGCGAGACUGUAAGGAAAAUAAAUGCUACUAGUCAUUCAUGAGGAUAAUCAUAAUGAAGUGCAGUUGGACAGUUGUAUACACUUGAAAUUCAUUCAGUGCCAUAAAUUAACAUGUGUAGCCAACUGAUUUUCUAAUGGCCCGAUAAGGGAAGCCACAAGAUAAUCUCCGUGUGGAAGCUGGACAAAGUUUUCAGCAUGGAUAACCGCAUAAAAAGGGAGGCAAGUCUCAAGUGAAAAGAAAGAAAUUUUAAAAAAUACAGAGAGAACAAAACAAGUCCUGGGCGCAAACAGCAACAAUGCCAAGAAUAUCAGUAAAGUAAGAGGAUGCACCAAAAUACUCACCCUUUCCGGAAAUAUGCUUUGGGCAUAGAAGGAUCCAAUUCAAUGGCCUUGUUCGCAUCGGCAACAGCUUCUGCUCAUGGGAAUCAAUAUUCAUGUAUUAGGGCACACAAAAUACAACUCAACCAAUAUAUCUGAACCAGCACUCCUCCAUAACAUCCAUACAAGGCAAAAUACAAAAACCUUUCAUGUUAGUGAGUUGGUUCGUCCUUUAUCAACUCAAGGAGCAUUAAUAAUUCCAAACAAGAAAAAAAAAAUUAAAUUUUCUAGAGUAGACGAAUAAAAGUAAAUAAUAAAAUCUGUCUACCGUGGUGUGAACAGUUUAAUGAAGUGAUAUUCGAUCAACAAGAAAAGUCGCAAAAAAGUCAAGUGAGAAGGCAAAACUAUAUGUCAGACAUUUAACUAAAUCUUAGACAUUAAAACAAGAAAAAAAGCGUGCAAAAAAGAUGGUUGAACUUUUGAAGCAAGCAACCUUCAUACAUAUGCAACAUGUAGUUAAGCAACAAUAGAUUCGUCGAAUAGAUCCCAAAAAUAGGAAUACUGUAUAGCAAGCUAAAUAGGAAUACUGUAUGUUGAAUUUAAAUAAGGAUUUCGUCGCUCCUAAAAAUAUACAACCAAAAAAAAAAAAAGGAUUUCAUCGGAAGAAUAAAAUACCGGUGAAGUUGUUGAGUUUGAUGUUGGCUUGAGCGCGAUCAGCAAAGAGCUCAGCGUUCGUAGGGCUAACGGAGAUGGCUUGAGAAUAGAGGUCAACGGCCAGCUCGAAGUGGUCGUCGAUGAAGGCUUCUUUAGCCCUGGUCUCCAGAUCCGACGAUGCCAUGGUUCGCUUCUCAGAAGAGAGCAGGACAGGACAGGACAGGAACAGUCUCGCAAAUAGAUAAAAAUAGAAGGCUCUAGAAAGGGGAAAGCGCACAGGGCUUUAUCACUCUACUGGAACACCGCCGAUGCUUGACUUCAAUCACUAAUAAAAAUACAUAUGCUACCGCUACCAAGAUACCGCCGAUGCUUUAUUUCAAUGACUAAUAGACUAGUAUUCGGUUUGUUUAACGGGUAUAUAUAUAUAUGGGAAGCUCGUUAAUUAACAUAAUAUUUUAGAUGUGAUAUUUUUAAAAAUAUUACAUAAUUUAAAAAAUUAAAUAAAUAUAAGGAAGCAUAAGUAACAUUAAAUAAAAAAUAUAUAUAUAAAUUCAAUUGAUCAUAAAAAUUGUUAAUAUAUUUAUAUAUAUAAAAUAAAUUAACUGAAUACUAAAUGUGAUAGGACAUUCAUUCAAAAAAUUCUAUAAUAUAGUAUAUAAAUGUGAUAAGACAUCCGUUCAAAAAAUUCUAUAAUACAGUAUAUAAAUCCAAUUGAUCAUAAUAAUUGUUAGUAUAUAUAUAUAUAUAUGUAUAUGUAUAUAGUAAAUUAAGUGAAUACCGAAUGUAACAGAGUAUUCCUUCAAAAAAACUCUAUAAUAUUUUACGGGUUUUUUUAAAAUUUUUUUAUUUACGUUGUUAAAAGUAUUUUUACUAGUACUAUACCACUGCAAAUUGCGAACGUUGUGGGAAAAGACCGGGAUACCCUCUUGUGAAAUCCAAUUAUUUGCGAAGGUUGUGGGAAAAGACCGGGGAACCCUCUUGUGAAUGUGAAUCCCCAAUAAUUUGCGUGGUAAGAGUGGUAUACAUGCAGGAGGGAUUCGGCAGCACCUCCCACUCCCAUAGCUUUUUCCUUUGAUUUUUAUUCUAUCUUCCGAUAGACACGUCAAUUGUUUAUGGAAAAAGGCUGUCCAUUAGUUGUUGAACAUUAUUAUUAUAAACGGACAAGCCCGAUCCGUUUGGAAUAUUAGGGGAUCGACAUCAAUACAAUUGUGUAAUUUCACAGACCUAGUUGCAUAUUUUGAUCCAAUAAAAUUUCAUUUCGUUUACUAACCCGCCUAUUCAACUAAGUUAACCCGGCAUGGAAUAUGGGCUAACCUGUUCAACUGAUAAAGAAAACGAUUGUACAACUCAUAUAUAUCCAAAGUAUAAAGGAGCAGUCAAUCUCACAGUUAUAAAAGUCCACCAACAAAGUACAUGAUCAAAAGACAAUUAAAAUGCUAAAUAUUUCGAACAUUUAUUUUAUUUUUUUGUCUUCAUCCGUUUUAGAAAACUAUUAACUCGUUCUACGGUGAGAACGAGUUAGAAUUAACUGGUUAAGUAAAAAAGUUGCAAUAUAUAUAUAUAAACAUAUGAUGAGUCUCUUAAUUUAUUUACUUGUAAAUGAAUAGAUCGUUAAGUUCUGAGAUUUGCAUACGGGUUACCCUAACUAACCCUGUACAUAUGUAGGAAUUGCGGUUAAAAAAAAAUAAACCAUAGUCGUAACAUUUCUUUUUUUUUUUUUUUUAAGGAUAGGUUCAAGUAAUUUAAUCAUUUUGGGAGAGGAUUGAUGUGAAUGAUAAGGUGCGAAGGAUUAUAAGUAGGAGGUUUUGAAACCUUCCACUUAUCAAAAGGAGAAAAAUCUGAUCAUUUUCAAAUUUGAGGACAAUUACCAUAUAUAUAUAUAUAUAUAUAUAUAUUAAUUUUGUAGGUAGUUAGCAUGUUUUUCAAUUUGGACCAAUUCGAUAAUCUUGGCUAGCCACUUUUCUAGUUUGUUCUUGAACACCCCAACUUAUGGUUUUAUAAGAAGCCUAAUGCUAUCUAAUCAUUGAUACACACUUGAUGCAUAUGCACAUUAAAAAAAGAUUUAUCUUGAUCCGUAAAUCAUCAUUAAGUGUAAAAAACAUAUGAAGUAUAGUGAAGAAGAAAGUGUACGAGUAAUUAGUUGUGAUGAAAACUAAUUAAUAACCUACAUAAAAUCGUGAGGUACUAGUCUAUGAAUGAAAUAAUCGUUUUCACAUUAAUACAUUCAAAUACGUUAGUUAUUUAAAAGCUGCUUUAUUCUUUACAAAUGGGUCGUCACAUUCACAUAAUCUUUGCCCAAAAAAAAAAAGGGUAAUUUGCAAAACCACUUCAUGGUACAUGAAAACUUUAGGUUGUGUUUGGAUUGUAUUUUUCAUGGAAAAAAUACUGUAGCGAUUUGAUGUAUGUGAGAAAAAAAAGAUAAUAGGGAAAUGUGAUUACGGAAAAUAACAUAAAUUUUCGACAGAAAACAACAAUCCAAACAAGGCCUUAGUAAAUAAAGAAAAUUUAAGGCCCUUUGGAUUGCAAGUUCUCAGAAUUUUUAUAGGAAAGAUAUGUGGUAAUCAUCACGUGGUGUAUAUAAGAUAAAAAUUAUAAUUAAGAAAUAUAUGAAAAAAUUUUUGUGCCAAAACUUGCAGUCUAAACAAGGCAUUAGUGGCCAUCUAACGAGUUUUCCAAGCUCCGCGUUUGCCAAUCGAAUGUGCAACUCGUUCAUCGUGUGAUAAGGGAACGGCAUCUUUUUAGUUUUUACUAUUAAUCUUCUGGAAAAUAGAAGGCACGUUUACUUGAAGGCUAGAAGCGUCAACCGGUAAGCAUCUUCUUUCAGACUUCUUAGCUGCUUCCUCAUUUGGCAUGUGAAUAGUACACGCCUGGCUGUGUGCGUUUGGAUUGUAAUUUUUUUAAAAGGGUUUUUUGAUAUAUUUUUUAAUUAUUUUUUUAAUUUACAUAUAUUAUAAUAUAUUUUUUUUUAUAAAAUUUUUAAAAAUCAGUAAUUCAAACGGUCUUAAUUAAUUUACUUCCUUUUUAAGCCAUUCAAAUUUGUUUUGAAAAGUUUUACAAUAUGUCAUGGCGAAAUGCCUUGAGGCUUUCACACAGGACAGGACCACACAAUUUCGAAGAAACCUGCUCAAAGAUUGUAUCAUAUUGCAAUAAACAAUUACUGAAAGAGGGCAUUUGUGUCCACAGCCCAAUUAUCAAAGCGGGUUUUCAAGAUAAUUUAUGGAUCAGCAAUAACUUGCUCGCUCUGUAUUCAAAAUGCCAUGGAGUUGAUCAUGCACGCCACUUCUUUGAGGAAAUGCCAUGCAAGGAUGUUGUGUCCUGGUCUGGAUUGUUGUCUGCUUAUGUCAAAGAUGGUUGCUACGAGGAAGCUCUUGAGCUGUAUGAUUUGAUGAAGUCUUCUGGGGAAUGCCCAAAUGAGUAUACACUUUCGAUUGUGAUCAGGGCCUGCUCAGCUCUUCGGGAUCGUAACCAAGGAACUAAAGUCCAGGCAUGUGCAAUAAAGAGUGGUUUUGAUUCAAAUCCUGUUUUAACUAGCAGUUUGAUUGAUUUGUACUCUAAAUGUGAUAACAAAGAAGCAGCACAUAAGAUAUUCAUGAAUAUGCGGAAUGGUGACACUGUUUCUUGGACGACUAUGAUCUCUUCAUUUGUCCAAGAGGGGAGCUGGAUUACUGCGCUGAGACUUUUCAUAUGCAUGAUCAAACGAGAAAUUCAACCAAAUGAAUACACGUAUGCAAAAAUUUUGAGCGCAUGUGGUGGUCUUACUUGUUUAAAUUCUGGGAGAUUAAUCCACGCCAGGAUGUUAGUCUUGGGCAUUCGGCUGAAUUUAGUUUUGAAGACAGCUCUUACUGACAUGUAUGCAAGAUGUAAGAGAAUGGAAGAUGCUAUGAAGGUCUCAAAGCAAACUCUUGAGCAAGAUACAGUUCUAUGCACGACACUAUUGAGUGGCUUUUGCCAUAACUUGGAGAUCAAGGAGGCUGUUGAUGCAAUAGAGCAGAUGAUGGCCCAUGGGAUCACUCCAAAUAGUUAUACAUAUGCUGUAGUCUUGAAUGGCUGCUCAUUAGCUCUGACAUUGCAACUGGGGAUACAAUUUCACUCAAGGGUUAUUGAGAUUGGCUUGGAAAAUAAUGUUUCUGUUGGAAAUGCACUCAUUGAUAUGUAUUUGAAAUGUUCUGGUGGAAUAAUCGACGCUUUUAAAGUAUUUGAACAAAUAAGGUCACCAAACAUCAUCUCUUGGACUUCCUUGAUUUCUGGCUUUGUUGAACAUGGUCUUGGAUACGAGGCUUUUCAAGCAUUUGAAAAGAUGCAGUUUGCAGGGAUAAUGCCAAAUUCUUUUACCUUGUCCAGUAUCCUUCAGGCUUGUGGAAUGAUGAAAUCUGCAAAUCAUACAAGAAGAUUUCAUGGAUACAUAAUCAAAAUGAACAUUGGCCAUGAUAUAGUUGUGGCGAAUGCUCUUGUUGGUGCCUAUGCUGGACUCCAUAUGGUUGAUGAUGCAUGGCGUAUAAUAGGUGAAAUGCAUCAUAGAGAUGUUAUCACAUAUACAAGCAUAGCGAGCAAACUUAACCAAUUAGGACUUUUUGAAAUGGCUUUGGAAGUGAUCAGUUACAUGCAAGAAGAUAACAUUGAGAUGGAUGGGUUUACCCUGUCCACUGUCUUGUCAGCAUCAGCCAGCCUAGGUGCAAUACCACAGGGGAAGCAACUUCAUUGUUAUGCUAUUAAAUCUGGCUUCAGUGGCUGGACCUCAGUCUCAAAUGGUUUGAUUGCUUUUUAUGGCAAAUGUGGGUGCAUGCAUGAUGUAAAGAGAGCCUUUGAUGAAGCUUGUCAGCCAGACGUAGUCUCAUGGAACAGCUUGAUUUUCAGCCUAGCAGUUAGCGGUCAUGUCUCCUCUGCUCUCUCCACUUUUGAAGACAUGAAGUUAGCAGGAGUUAGACCUGAUUCCACAACAAUAUUGGCGGUUCUAUCUGCUUGCAGACGUUGUGGUUUGGUUGAUAUGGCUUUAGAAUAUUUUCAUUCUACUAGAGAAGCAAAUGAUGCAGUCCCAGAAUUAGAGCAUUACGUUUGUUUAGUUGACCUACUAGGCAGAGCUGGCAGGAUGCAGGAGGCAAUGGCUAUAAUAGAGACAAUGCCUUUCAGGCCUGAUGCAUUGAUCUACAAAACAAUGUUGAAUGCCUGCAAAAUACAUUCAGAUGUACCCCUUGGUGAAGAAAUGGCAAGUCGAGGUCUUGAACUUGAACCUUGUAAUCCAGCAUUUUAUUUGCUUCUUGCAGACAUGUACGAAAACUCCGGCAAAUCUGACCUAAGAGAGAAAACCUGCGGCAUGAUGAAAGAGAGAGGCAUAAUACAGAAAGAUUAUAGUAAUAGCUGGAUGGAGAAAAGCAACAAGGUCCCACUAUUAAUUGCUGGAGAUGUACCAUCUUAACAUGAUACCUGAACAUAGCAUACAGAAUGUAGAGCUAAAAUGGUAUUCAUACUAAAGCUCAUGAGAAUCCUAAUCUCAGAGUCUCGGAUUGGAAAUGGCAUGUGGUCUUCUUUACAACAGGUUUGUAAGCAUCCCAGACAAUAUGUCUAUACUUAUCAUGAUUUGUUGCGAAGAAGGCAACACAUGUUGAUAUUAUAGUUUCCUCGACAGGCACCAGCUUCAGUGUUAAUGAGGUGAAGGUCCCCGUAAAGCUGACUGGAUGGGGUAUGAGCAAGAUAAGGAAAUGAACCAAUUGUGACCGAGCUGCUUUCAGAAUUCAGAUAGAAAGAUGUUUUUGCUUCAUGCCAUGCUGAAAAGAUACAUUCUAACUGGCAAGUAACUUUUUUUCUUUUUUUUUGUAGAUUCAAGUUCAUAUAACCGUCUCUAUUGUCAUUUUUCAGAGUUUCUCUGUUUAAAAAACUGUACUAGCUGGAGGAGAUUCUUUGACAACUAGUCAACUACAGUGAGGAGGUGAAGGAAUGUUAGCUAGCAGAAAUUUCGGCUUUCGGACCAAUGGCAACAACUCGUUUUUCAUUUACUUUGGAUUGAGGGAUAUGGUCGAUUUGGGUUUGAGAUUCUUAUCCAAAUCCUUUAUAUAUCUGGUUUCCCAAUAGGUAUCUGGAAUUCUGGACUUGAAAUCCAACAUAAAAUUCAGAGGGAUUUUGGGAGUUUAAAAUUUCUCGAUUUCAAAUUCUUCCAUAUAGAUGUCAUUACCAUUCUCAAUCUUAGACCUUUCUCGUUUAAGAUGUAUUUUCUUGUAGCCUACUGUUCUGUGAGCAUGUACAAAUCAGGGAAAAAAUGGCCGGCGGCCAUUGUUGCCUGACAACGACAGAACAGCUAGGUGUAGACUAAGGAAAGGGCUAGAAUUUGAGUGCCUCAAUAUUUGGUGGAUGCGUGUGUGAUACAGAAGUUGUGUUGGCAAUUAUUGCUAUCGCCAUGCAGGAAAGGCGAAAAGCGCCAGAGACUGAAGCAGCGCAGCUGAAACGGUGGAAGGCUUCUUUGCCCCUGAAUGUGUUCAUUUCCUACCCCAAUAUUUUUGUAAAUUCUAAAUUCUCCUGUAAAUAAUGCAUUCAAUUUGGAAUAUUUUCCUACAUCCAAAUUCACAAUUCAAACGGUCCCAAAAUGAAUAAAGUUUACCGCAUAGGCAUCCCAUCCCUUUGCACUUCAAGAGCACAUCGGUCAUUGUGACAUCUACACGCCAUGGAGCGUUGUUGAAUCUUGGCCAACAAAGCUACUUAUAAAAUGUUCUAAAAAUCCUUGCUUCAAAUUGGUUCAUCCAACCUCUGUCCACUGGUUCGGGUCUGGAUCCUCCGAGGGCAUCGUCAAGAAUGAUAUCAUCAGCGCCGACGGAUUUUGUAGUUAGUUUGGACCAUAACCCCGAGGCCUGGGGAUGGAGUUGACCAAGCUGCAAAUGUUAACAACAACAAAAUAGUGGGUUGAAAGUUGACUGCUAAAACAGGGUUGACCGAAGCUUGAUCAUUACACAUGAACAGGUUUCUAAAUUGAACUUCUUAAUUUUAGAAAUUCUCAUGUUGACGAUGUCACACCUCUUUGAAUUUAGAAAUUCCUAUAUUUGUAUUUAUCACUCUCAGUUGCUGUUUUUUUUUUUUUUUUUUUUAAAUAAACUCAUUCAAAUUGAUAGACAUGCUAAUUGAGUUGAGCGACGCUACACAUCCAAGCACAGUUUCAAGCUCUUUGUUUACAUUGUAAUGAACAACUACCAAAAUUUGCGCCCAUUGGAAAGGCCCCAAGUUAUUAAGGUACUCAGUAGUCAGCCCCCAAGUUCAUUCAUGCCAAUUCAAUUCAUUCAAGUUUAUCUGUUGGAUUGUAGGUCAUGUAGGAAAGCCCCAGGCGGUCGGCAAGUUCUAUUUACGCUUUAGAAUAUUCCUGCGAAGAACUUACAAAAGAACGUGAACAAACAGAAAGAAGUAAACUGUUCUUGAUCAUCAGCUACACAACCAUAUACUGCAACAGUUUUUGCAAGGGAAGUAAUAGCAAACAGAAACACCGGUUUAAAGGAUUUAAACAGAAAACUGGGGACAAUCAACAUUCAAUCUAACUUUGAUGACCACCAGUUUAACUGAAAAGGUAAUAUAUAUGGUCCACUUUCUAACUCUGAUAUUGUUCAUGUGAAGGGGCAACGAAGGUCAAACGGAUCCCAAACUUGAGCAGGGUCAGCACAUAAAUAUAAUACAUAUAUUAACAAGGAACCCCCUCAACUUCAUAGUGAUUCAAGGGAAGGGUCAAUUAAGCUGACAGCAACAGUUUAACUACAUGAUAGCCAACCAACAGCAAGAACUCAAAUGAGAAACAAUAAGAAAUAAUGGCGCCUUGGGACAUGGGUGAAAUGGGCAUACUACCCUAAGUUGUUCAGUUAAACCAGAAUGCGGAUAGCUGCGGUCAAAUUUGGUAAAAGCCACUCAACUUCCGAUUAUUAACUAGUGGUUCAAUCUUUAAUCCCACAGAUAAACUCCGAUCUGAACAGAACUGUUUUUGUGAAAUUACAAAAAACAAGAGGGCACCGAUCAGUAAUAAACUUGAUGUGGCUCGGCAAAAAGAAGAACAAGCCAAAAGAAGAAGCUGUGGAGUGCUACUUAGAUUGCUGCUCGCCAGAUGCAAUUGCAGGCUCAUCUUUCUUUGAGCGUGAAACAGCAUCUUCCAAAGUGUUGGUAGAAACGGCCUCAAGCGUCCUAUAAAACUCUUCAGGAAGAGGACCAGGUCGAUGCAAGGGUAUAUGCUUUGGAACUGGAGCAUCAUUUUCGAUAACUUCACAUUCAUAAUCAUCUGGGAUACCCCAUGGUUUCCACUCUGCACUUGAAACAAAGACACCCAAGUGACCAAAACAUCAAAUUGGCAAUAUUUAACUGGAGACUUCCUCCAAAAUUAGAUGGCUCCAGUUUCAAGCCAUUUGAACCAGUAUAAACUUGGAAUUGGCAUCAAGAUUAGUAAAGAUAACGACUCUGGAGUGACAAUAUCAGAGUAGAAAAAGCAUUACAUCCUCUCGACAUUUAGAACAUCUACGUUUGUCAAAUGUGGUUUGAAAAUUUAAAUACAUAACCACCAAUACAACAAGACAAAUAUAGACAAUAGCCAUGAAGCUGAUCAACCAAGACCAGCAAAAUACUUCUUUUGUUGACUAGAUCAUGCACUCCCAAGUCACAGAUCAAUUUGCAAUUAGUUCACGUCAAUUUUUCACUGUUUAACAUUUGAAAAGGAGCAAAAUAGAAGAAGAGAUGACGAGAGCUUUUACUUCUUGACUCACUCAAUAAGACAUUACUACUUAAUAGUUUGCUCGCUCAAUUCUAUUAAACUAGGGUGCUUGGUUUCUUCUGACCUCAAACUAGCCAUAUGAAGGAACCUUGAGGUUCUUCACAGCUGCCGAGAAAUCAGAUAAGAAAGCAAAUUGCAAUCCAGAUUCUCAUAAUCAAUUAGAAAACAGAUUGUUAAAAAAAAUUACUAAUACCAACUCAUCAAACAAUUACCACUACCCUACUCCUAAGAUAACCAUUCACCUAUCAAAACCCAAAGUUCUAUUUUAUGCUCUGACCACUCCCCGGAAAACUCCCAAGUCCUUUCAAAGAAGUAAAAAAAAAAUAAUAAUAAUAAUAAUAAUAAUAAUCAGUGGUCAGUGCACAAGAAUAGUUAACAACUCUCUCUCUAGCUCCACUGCCCUCAUCAUCCCCAAAACUAAAAUGUCUAUAGAUUCACAACAGAAUAGGAUGAAAGCUUCCAAUGUCAGUCCAAGUCUUCGAAAACUUAUAGCAAAGAAGAUGCAAACUUAAGCUUUUUUUGAAACCGUACAAUGUCAUCUUCUCAAAAGCUCGUUCUAUAUCCUCAAAAAAAAAAAAAAAAGGAUAGAAGACCAAGCAGUAAGAAAGCAUACACUUAACUGUAGAACAUCCACUAUUUCCCAAAGCAACACCAUUUUCCCCCUCCCUCCCCUACAAGCAGUCCACAAACUUUCUCAAGAGCAAUUAAACCAACCAGAAAAUUUUAUUUGAUCACUUUAAAAAAAAAAAAAAUUUCACGGCAGAUGCAGGGAAAAUGCCACGCAUUUAAAAUAAUAAUAAUAAUAAUAAACAACGGAAGCGACUAGAAAAUCAUUCUUAAUUAUUUGAAAAAAAAAAUGAAAUGUAGAAUGCGGAUACCGAUCAUGUGGCCGAUGAGCUUGAGUUCAUCCUUAGCCUCUUCAAUAAGCUCUUCGACCUGGCCGCAACCCAGACGCUUCUCGAUCGAUUCCCAGUCCUCUUCCUCCCGGCACACCUUGAGCCGGUGGCGGGUGAAGCUUUCCACAGCCUUACGAUAUCCUUCAUCCUCGGGGACGGCCUUGAUCUCCUCUAGGGUUUUGCUAUACAGACUGAUUAAAACCUCCCUAGCAUUUGGCACAACAUCUAGCCCUACGAUCCCCGUCGUCUCCUUCACCUUCGCCAUCAUCAUUAACGGCCGAGCCACCCUCCGCAGAAACAUUCUGACUCGCUCUUUCUCUGGACAAGUUGACUCGAUGGGCAGAUCGUUCUGUGGCUCGCUUGCUCACUCAGUAUUGGAAUGGAAGUCAGAGCUGAAGUCUGAAGAUUACCAAGCUACACUCCGAAUGGGUUCCCUUUACUUUUCCAGUAAACGGUGCGAGUUACUCAUUGGGCCAUUUUGGAUUAUGGUCCAGCACCCAGGAGGCUGGAUACUGUAUUCAUUCAGAGGCUCACAUCCAAUGUUCGGCCUGCUUUUGGGGAUAUCUCGAAGGCACAUAUGGGGUUUUUAAACAAGUGUCCUAGCACGAUGUUCGCCAUGUGUAUGCUCACUGUUCGAGAUAAUCAAUUUUUUAAGUUUAAAGGAGCGGUGCUAAUUUUUCCCUUUUAACUUUCAUUAAUUGGUCCUAUUUGAUAAUUCAAUUCAACGUUUAAAUUUAAUGGAUUCAGAUCUUAACAUAUUCAGAUAUGUUUGAUAACAAAAACUGAACAUCUGGAUUAAUUAAGUAAUACUAAAUUUUUCAGACAAAAUUUAUUAUAAAAAAUAAUAAGUAAUAAACUAUUCACUUGUUAACGCAUACUCAAAUGUACCAGAUUUAAUAUUUAACAAUUUAAUAACGUAAUAGAUUCACAAUUCGAAUUACAUAUUUCAGUUUUAUCAUACUCACCCUUAGUGUCUUUGGCGACCAAUCUCACUGGAAUGGGCGUGCCGAGCAAGGAAUGCUCCGCAUUUAUCGUCCCGUCCCUCUGUCACGUGUCGCGUGUGGGGCCCACCUGGCGGGGGACACGUGUCGAUCAUCCCUACUGCAGCGGGGGCAUUCGAAAUUCGAUUGAUCGAUACGGUGCGUUUCGAAGAGCAAAAAUAAAAUGGCCAACACGAGGGACAUGGCAAGAUUCUUCAGGGUCGUGAGGGACAGUGACGUCAUCUGGGUAGAGCUGGGAACUGUUUACAAUCGUCUUCCCUUUGACUGAGUCCACUGUUUCUCAUCAGAAAACGCAUAACGCAUUACCUCCCAGACACCUCAUCUUGGUCGAAACCAAGAUUUAAGGGCAAUAUUCAAUGGAAAUACCAAGAUUUUCUAGAUUCCAACUUAAUUUGUGCAAACAGGACUAGACAAAACUAUACAUAUUCAAUGUGCGAGAGGUCGAUAGCCUACGAAGUCUAGUUGCCUUAUUUAGUGGGGAAGAAUGAAAUGCCAAAAAGAUGGAUUGAAUCAAUCUAUUAUCCACCCAAUUAAAUGAAUUUAAUUGAAUACUCAUUUAGAUCAAUUCAAAAUUAAUGGAUGAAUUAUCGAUGAACAGAUUUAAAGAAAUUAACAUAAUUAAAUUGUGAUUAACGACUCUAAUUGUCCCUAAGAACAGAUGAUGAGAAAAUAGAGUGUGGGAAUCGGUUUCAGGCGUGCGCGUCUCUAAGUGACGUGUAUUGUUUGCGCUGAAAGAGCGAAAGUUGACUUUCUUCCACCUCAUAAUGAAGACAAAACUACUAUCAUUCAUACAAGACUAAGCCGAGUCCAUUAAAUCUUAAAAGCACCCGUAUCUCCGCUUUUUUUCUUGACUUUCCUCGUGUAGCUAACAACAACAUAUAUCAGUUCCUAAUAAAACUGAAUACAUCAGUAUUCAAACAUAUUUGAUUAUUUUAACGAAUUUAAAAUUUUAUUUUAUUUUUACAAGAUCGAGUUUAAACGAUUUUUUUUUUAUUGAAUUUAAAGGUUAUCAAACAUAAAACGUUAUUCAAGUUUGAUUUGACUAGUUGAUAAAUCAAGUUCUAACGAGCUUUUAUCGGAUCGAAUAGUUUGUUCGUCUUUAAGCUCUAAUAGCAAGAAAUGAAUGACAUGUUUGUUCAUUAACCUUUGCAUUGUAUUAUAUGGUAGAUUCAUUUCCAAUCCAAUCUGCUAAUAUAUUGGGCUAAAGAUGAAGUUGGAUUAAAAUAUUCGGCACAAAUUUACAAAAUGAAUCUCGUGACCUUUUCAGUUUCUUUUUUCCCUUUUUAUCAUUCGAUAUCUCCUUUCACUUACAAAUUCUGUCGGAAGCAAGCGGGCCUUGCAUUAUGUAAUAGUGGUCAACUAUUUGAUGCGUAACGCAAAUGAAAAAUAACCAGUCAUUUUAUAAGGUCCCGAAACAGUCAAAUGAAAGAAAGACCAAUUAAAUCUAUUUUCCAGGUGAAAUUGCGGGGAAUGUUUGUCCCAUGAGCUCCUCAACGAUGAUGAAAGAUAGAAUCGUCUCUUUUAGGAAUUCCAGGACAGACUCAAAAUUUGACUCCAUGGGAUGGUUGGCUCGUGGCUGGGCACCUUUUAUUCUAUACAAAACUUCACCCAACAAGCACACGACCGACUGAUCUUUAUAAGCUGCUAAUACUUUGACAAAGCUGAAGUCACAAAUCCAAAGGAAUCACAGGCUAAAAGAAAACAAGAAAGUUGGGUGGAGGAUAAACACAGUUUUAUUUCUUUCAGGAUCACCUCAUUAAUUGGGCAGCCGGCCACUGAGCAAGCAACAGCUUGCGGAUGUCCAAGUCCAAAUGUCUCGAAGUUCCCGGGCCAACUACUAAGCAGCCGUCGCAGCAGGCGAUGAGAACAAAAUCUUCACUACCACGUCACGUACGACUGCGAGUUAUCACCAGGCUACCACUUCAGACUUUAGUUCUUAAAAUGCAAGCCCUUGAAGAAACGAUCAUCAUUCACGAGAGCAUAGUUAGGAAUGAGAAUAUCAUCAUCCCCGUUCCCAUCGCCAUCAUUUUCAUCAUCGUCAUCACCAUCAUCCGCCCACCCCUCUACCUCCUCCUCCCCUGACAAUAAUAAUUCUGCGCCGUAGCUGUUGUUGUUUUCGUUAUCUGCAGUCUCUUGAUCCACAUUUUCGUCUACGCCACUGUCGCCUUCUGUUAUGGGCGUGGCGGUUGGAGAGAAACUGGAAGCAGAGGCUGGAGAUGAUGAAGAACAAGAAGCUAUUGAUGAGGAGGCAAUGUUAUGGAUAUUAGUGGUGGAAGUAGUAGUAGCGGUGGUGGUGGUGGGGGGCCUGGCGGCGGCAGCGGCAGCGGGAGGUACUUUGCUGCGGGUAGUACCAGCGAGGGAGCUCCGGUGCGUAGGACGGGGGUGCGAGUGUUCCCCGCUGUAUGAGACCACGUACAUGCUAGGAUCCGCAGGGCAUCGCUCCACUUGUUUCCUCGCUGUACAUCCUUUCGAGGUGCUACAUCUGUAGUAGUUUCUGAUUGAUUUUUUAUUCCAACAAAACUAUCUAGUGUCAUUGCUCAAUUAUCCGGAAAGUUAAAAUUAAUGUGACGGAACUUUUCCUUGCAACAGUUCAAUGUGAUGACCAAAUAAUUGGGAUAUAGCCGGAAUGGGUGAUCAAAGAGAAAAAACCUUGGAUACGGGGAAUCUUUAAUUGGCUUUUGACCGUAUUUUCUCCAGGCCCAUGAAUCAGCUGAUAAUUCUUCUUGUGUCAUUUGUUGAAUCCUCUUGGCCUGCUGGUUUUUCCUGUGUUAGGAAGAUGCUAUUAAUUUGCAUUUCUUGAAACACUUAAAAAUAUGGUGUCAAGAUUCUAUGCUAGUUUCGAUUCUUCUCUAUCGUUGAUUGGAAUUGUAUAAUAAUAUUCAAAAGCUGAGCCACAUUAAUUCUAUUCUAUGACGUACAACUUGAUUUAGUUGUUAUUUCGACUCGAUCUGGGUUGGAAGAUCCAAAAAUAGUGAGUAUUCCUGGAGUUUUCUAGUAAAUGCUCGCUUACCUUCUUCGCGGCCUUUCGGGCUGAGGACUUGUAGAUGGAAAAGAAAGGGAAGCACCAACAAACAUCUCACGGCUGAGGUGUGAAUAUCUUUGCGGUUGCUGCAUCAGCUGCUGUGGUUGUCCAUAUAUCCGUUGCUGUUGAGGUGUCUGAUCUGCUGUGCAUCCAGGGCCUUGGAUUGCUUGGAUGUGCUGAGCGUGUGAAUUAAGGUCGACGAAAGAUUGUACUAUAUCCUCGUACGGUUCCUUGUAAAUUUCUUCGAGUCCCCGAAAGGAGUCCCUCGUGUGAUUUGCAAAGCCCGGAAAAUCAGAUGAAGUGUGGCCACUUUGAAAUGAAGGGGAAGCUAGGAAUGACGCCGACAACGACGUCUCCCCCGAUGGCAGGCUGCUGUUCUCAACAGGGGCUAUGGCGGCGUCAGUCGUAGUGGAUGAGGAGGCUGUUGAUGUAGCAGCGGCGUUGAAGCAGCUCCUCACCACCGCAUACAAGUCCCAGUCAUCAGCCAUAUGUUGAACGAUUCAUCAGGGCCGGGAUAUACACUACUUAGUGCACACACCUCCAGUUCUCCAAUCCCACCACUCUGCUUACGCUUGGCUUCAGAGUCCAAAAAAAACUACAAACAGACAAAGGGGCACAGGCACGGGCACGGGCACGGGCACGGGCACAGGCUUUAUUUUUUCCCCUUUUUCCUUAAUGCUAAAAAUCAUCAGUGUUGUCCUGUCCACUAGCGUACUGUAGCAUUUUGCAAAUUGGAGAUGGGAGACAAAAGGUGGAAAAAUCAGAGGGGGCCCGAGGAGGACGGCGCUGACUUUUGGAAGAGAUUUUUAAUCUUGUAGUAUAAUCAAUAAUGCAAAUGCAGGGGGAGCCUAUUAGAAUGGAGGAGUGGGGUGAAGAGAAGCAAAAGAUACAGAGACAGGCUCUGACCUUGAUUCUUUUGUUGCCACUGGUAUCUCUCUGUCUAUUUAUACCCGAAGAGGAAUAUAAAGAUUUUCCACAUUGUCUCUGUCUGUCGAUGGAGAGAAGCAAAGUGGUUCCGGAGUCAGCGCUUUGGCAUCUUUGAUAUGGAAUAAGAUAUGCCUUGAGCUUCUGAGAUUGACUUUGCAGCAACGUCAAAGUGGGGGGCUGGGAGUUGAUAAGGCGUGUCCUAAUGCCAUACUCCUGGCCUAGGCAGGUACAACUUCAACCUGCACAGGACUUUGCGCUUUUAAUCUUCCAAGCGUGCAAAUUUAUCGAUUGUGUGGGAAUAAUAAUGUUUGAGACGUAUAGACCUUAUUGUUGUAAGAAUAUUUCGUUCUGGGUAUAAAAUUUCAAUUGAUCUACUUUUCUUUCUUUUUUUUUUUUUUGAGACACGAUAGACAUAUAUUUAUUCUAUACUAUGAGAAGGGAGGCCUGAAGAAACCAAGAAAAAACCAUCACCACCGUCCGUCUGGAAUCAUUUAAAGUGACAGAUCACAUAUAGUGAUAGAUGGUGGGACAAAUUUUGAGUCAUUGAUCUCCCGCCCCGUCAAAUCUUACAGGCUUUGGUGGUAGCCAUUGAGCAAAGCACAGUGAUUAAUUGAUCUACUUUUCUUGUGCAACAAUAGAAUUGUGCAUCAUGCAACUUUUAGCCGAAUUGUGUACCAAAUUUUUGAGCUUAACUUCUGCAGUCGUAUAUUUGUUAUACUACCAUAUAUAUAUCAUUGUGAAAAUAGAGCUCCAGCCUCCAAAAACCUCCAAUGAUAUGUUUGGAGAAACUUUUACACCCUCCCCAGUUCAACCCCAAGUUGGCAAAUGCUCCCACUGUGAUGGCCACUUUUCGCGAAACAGUGGAGGAAAGAUUCCAAUUUUCUAUGACUUGCGUCAUGCCAUCAUGAUCCCUUCCAGAAUUUGCUGGCUCUCAAGGAAUAUGGUCCGCGUCCAAAAGAAUUUUGGAGUGGUUAAAACACAAAAAAAAAAAAAAAAAAUAGUAAAAGGGCAAGCCGAAGUCUGAAAACACAAGCACAUAACCAUUCGUUCCGACUAGGAAUUGCUUAGCGCAGGCAGGCCUAUCGAUGCAAAUAUCCUUGGUUAAGAUGGAAAAGCAAUGUAAUGGCCUGUGCAUACGUACAAUUAUUUGUUAAUUGUACAGACUAAAGUUUAAAUUAAUGAGAAAAGUUAGAAUUUAUGGGCAUCCUACGGCAAACAAGAAAAACAUAUGACAUAAUCCAAAAGCAAAACAAAAGAAAAUGGGGCAUUUGACAGACCUCUUUUGAUUUUCGUUACGUCGGUUUGAAGAUGCUGAAAGAUCGAUUAUGUUGGUUUUUCUUUCAUAGCCCUUGUUCCCCUCGAUGUAGUCAAGACCCAUAGAGCUGCCAGAGGCUUACUCUAUUCUAAAGAUGCUGUUUUGAUCCUCUACUUUGUUAGAGGGUUCGCAUCUCAGAUGGUCCUGGUUCAACCAAAAUCAAAUGCUAAAGCCAAAGAUAUGGUAAUCUUGUAACCGGUGGUGGUAGAUCCUAAGAGGGGUCAAUUUCUAGCAGAAGGGAAACAAAUAGCAGCUACUACAGAAAGAACGAAAGGGCAUGGCUCGCAGAUUCGGCUUUGCUGGUACCUGGCAUAGGAAUGUUGACGUAAUAAAGCAAGCCAGUAACACUAGCAAUCUAGUCUAUCUCAACACAAGAAAAAGGGAAAGUGGAAACCAUUUCAAGGGAAUUCAAGCAUGCAUGGGGAUCUCUAUCUCUCUCUUUUUUUACACAAUAACAAUAACAUUUCUAUAAUCUAAUCUACCCUAAUUUAGGGGGAGGGGAGCUUAAAGAAGCUAUAUAUAAGAGGCUAACAGACAUAAUAAGAACAUAGUAAAUCAAAGGAGUGUUCUGACAUAUUCUUUAGACUUUUUUCACUGCAAAUAGGGUUCGAAUCCCUGGCUUACAGUUCAAAGAGGGACUCCAGCUCUUUUUUGGUGAUGCAUUGGGAUAUAAGAUACUGAGAUUUGGUUAACCGAUGGAUGGUGUUUAUUACCACAAAAAAAUUCUUUAGAAUUAAGGGGGGGGGGGGGGGGGGUGAGAGUUAAAGAGGGAUACUUGGGGUUGAAUAGGAUAACUUAAUCCAAGACGUACAUGCGGAUCAACAAAAGAACUGCAAUUUUAAUCAAACCGAGGAAGGAAGUAUCCAACUACUGGACCGCCGUACCAGCCAUAUAUAAUCAGUCAAGAAGUGUUCAAUGGAAAUUCUCUUCAGUUCAAAACAAAUACUCACUUAAAAAGAGGAUGCUUAAUUUGGAUUGCUGGCCUUCUUCCACUAAAUACUCACUUAAAAAGAUGGUAUGAUCGAUCGUUUCAGGAUCAAUGAUGAUUACAGUUUGGCAAACGUUGAACAGAAACUUGGGUGUAAUGUAAUCAUAGAGAUAUCAUGUGUAAUAGGGACACGAUGAAUAACUACAGGUAUCGUCGUUGAUGAAUGGGAUACUUUAAUGAACAGCAAGUCGAAGAAAAUUAAGUCGAACUAACUGGCAUUCUUUGGUGCCUGUGUUCAGCGUCUACAUCAGCAUGUUGCUUUACGGGAUCUUUUUCCAGGUUCAAAGAAAGGGGAGGGAAGGAAAAAGCAAAAGUGCUUGCAAAAGUGCUUGAGAGUGAAUCAGCUAUUUCCGAUUAAUGCAUCUCCCAGAAAAGUUAGGCCAUCGACUUUAGAGGCUUGGUUGUAGUUGCCGUGCCCUUCGUGGAGCCGGAGGGUGUUUUUAACUUGGUGUCAGUCACCAUUGGUGGUGGGUUUGGCCGAAUAAAAGAAAAGACGGCCACUUCCUCUUUGGUGAUUCCUCACUUUUUUUCUGUUCCAUAUCUAUUCGAGGGGGAAUUGGUCAACCAGCUUGACAGCACAGCACUUGGUGAUACACUGUGUGGUGGUGGGUGGCACAGAAUGGUUUGGAGAAUCGCGACGCACCACGGAAAUCUACAAUGGUGAAUAGGACAAAAUUUUGAGGUACAAGUACAACAACCACCACAGCUUGCAGCUUAGCUAUAG